UAUAUAUAGAGUGAGGCUACUAUGCUAUCGGAAGCACGGAGCCUUCCGUGCUUCCAGCUCGUUGUCGAUGUUGCGGCUUUCGAAUCGUCGAUCGCUCCGUUAAACUUGAUCGAGAGUAUUUGGAGUACCUAGUGAACGAAGGGGCUCAAAAUCAACGGCUGAAAAUAAAAAUCUUACAAAAUGUAAUAAUAUGACAUUAAAAUUUUAAAUCAAAGAUAUUGAUCUUGUUUUAUAUAGUAUAAAAAAUUUUCUAUCAAAAUUUGACGUGAUUUGGAUAUUUCUACACCGUUAAACUUGCAAACGGCUCACUACGGCCAUUGAAAUUUGUUGAUUUUGAGCCCAUUCGAUCACUAGGCAGAUGAUAUCGAAAAAUAAUAAAAUUUAUUUUCUAGGUACUCCAAAUACUCUAGAUCAAGUUUAACGGAGCCGAUCGACGAUUCGAAAGUCGCAACACGAGCUGGAAGCACGGAAGGCUCCGUCCUUCCGAUAGCAUAGUAGCCUCACUCUAUAUAUAUAUAUAUAUUCAUUUUAUUUAUAUGUCUUUUCAUAUGUGAUGUGAAUCUUGUGUCUCUGAAUAUUCUUAGGUGUUUAAUUUUCUACAACAAACGUGUGUUAGUGUGUUACUUUAAUUAUAUAAAAUAUUAUUAUAUUAUUAUCGACGAGAGUUUUUUUUUUUUUUGGCAUAAUAUGCGGCAAUUAGACUCAACUUUCGGUAAUGGUCGGCGUUUUUAUGUGCAUGUCAUCAUCAUUAUUAGUAUUUGUAUGAUUUGACAUUAUUGUCUCUUACUAUUAUAUUUUUACAAAAUUUAUUUAAAUUAUGAAUUAUUUUAAUUUUAUUAUUUAAUUUUUAAAAUUUUAAUUUGAGCCGGUUAACGAUGCUGUAAUUUUAAAUUUUGAAUGCGUUGUUUACACUUACAUACUUAGUUCUAUAAUUAACCAUGUAAUUCUUAUAACUAUAAAUUUAUGAUGCGAUGUCAACUAAAAUUGAAGCAAUGUCGAAAACAGUCAAAUUUCAUUUAAGUGCUUUUCCAGAAGAACGGAUUUAGAUAUUCUCAAACUCAAUAUUGAUUAUUAAAACAGUCCACUUUAGAUCUGAUUAAUCUGAAUCGAUCUCUUGGGACGCUAAAACGAAACUCAAAAAAAUGCUUCAGUCAACCAACAUCACGCCUUAUCUUUAUCUUAAGGUAUAAGUUUUUUGUAAAUUAGGUCUGAGUCCUCUUAAUAUAGCAUCAGAGUCUAAAUCACACCUCCUACAUUAUGGUUGGUCCAGUGGACGCGUGCUAAAAACGUUCAGUAGGAAAUUUCGUACAAUCAUAUUGAGUCUCUGCCAUAUAAUAACAUAACAAAUAUAAAAUAAAAUCUUGACCUGCAUAAAAUAUACCGGACAUCUAUAACCAAUAGUUAUCUAUACAAAACUAUUAAUUUCUGUGGCUUCUAUCCGACGUGGCAGAAUUAUGUUGAAUUUGGGCCCACCUAGCUAUCAGUAUUAUUAUUCCUCCAUCCUUUCUAUUGAAUAUGAGGCUCACCUCUACCAGAUACUUUCUCUCGUGUAUCCGAGUGGAGUCUGUGGCUUCUAUCCGACGUGGCAGAAUUCUGUGGAAUUUGGGCCACCUAGCUAACAGUGUUACUAUUCAUCCUUUCUAUUGAAUAUUAGGCUCACCUUUAUCAGAUAAUUCCUCUCAUGUAUCCGAGUGGAGUCUCUUUUCACCUUCCCAUUUACCUUCUUAUUUAACAGACUAAUCCUUUCAUCUUUUAUUUUCCUUUCCAUUUAAUCAAAUAAUCUUCCCAUCUUCCCAUUUAAUAGAGUGAGUAAUAGUAUUUAUCUUUCCAUUUAAUAGAGUAAUCUCCUCACUUUUUAUUUAAUAGAGAGUAAUAGUGGAGAAAACGAGAAUGUCACGUCUUUCAUCAGGCAUCCUUCCAAUUUACCUUUUUUCUUUUCCAAAGUCUAAAACGUGUAUCGUUUGCUCUCCUAAUGCCAUGAGCAUAAUCGAUGAAGCCCUUCGACCCUCCUCCAUUACAUUAUACACGUUGUCGAUAAGACUAGCGAUGGCAUCGGUGUUGUUUAUUAUAUUCUUCAUGUGCGAAUCUUUUUAGUGAAAUAAUUAUAAAAAUACUUUAAACAAUUGUGGCUAUGAUGUUUACUCCACAUAUUGCAUGUUCCUCAUUUUUUUUCUUAAUUUACUUUCUUGGUAUUCGUUGCUUUUUUCUAUUCAUAUUAUUUGUCUAUUUAAAUAAUGUAUAUUAAAAUUAUUUUAAGUAUAAUUUUUUAUAUUAAUUAUUAUAGUUAGUAUUGAUUUACUGAUAUUUUGUUCUUUAUUAAUAUUUUAUUUUUAAUUAUAUUGGUAUUUUAUUAUUUAUUAAUUUUAGUAUUCAUCCGCCGUAAAGCGGGAGUUACUUCACUAGUUAUUAUUUUAAAAGUAUAGGUGCAAAGAAGAACUCUCAAUCCAAAAUAAGAACUAAAAUGAACCAUCGUGAAAAGUUUAGAUACUAAAUUAAAACCGUAUUAAAAGUUUAUGAUCUGAUAUGAUGAAAUUAAAUAUUCGAGUAAAAUAAAAGUGUACUCGAAGUUUAGGAAUCGAUAAUGUAAUUUACCUAAAGUGAGAUUAUUCAAGAGGAAACAAUUGUAAUAAUGAGAGGGAGUUUUUUUUUAUUAUUUCUUUCUUUCUUUCAAUCAUGAUAAAUUAAAAAUUUUUAAUCUAUUUUUUGGCACCUGCUUUUAAGAUUAUUGAUUGGGUCUAUAUAAUAUUUGUGCUUUUUACAUAAAAAGCUUAGAGCGUGUCAGUUAUAAUCAUGUAUGCUACGAUCCAAAUUUAUAAAAAAUAUUUUUAUUUAAAAUAAUAUGUUUUGUUGAUUAGAUAUAACUGACGUAAUACGACUAAGGCUUCAUUUGGUAUUGCAAGGAGAUUGCGUUACGUGUGGCAAAAAACGAUGAGAAGAAAAUGCUCUGUUUGUUUCCGUACGUAAUAUUGCGUUCAGCAUAUUAUGGUUAGUCAGUUACGAUAUAUUUUUUAUAGUUCCAUCGGAGAACGCAGAAGAAUAUCUCUAUAUGCUUUUUCUCAACACUAUUUUAUCUAAUACCGUUAGAUUCAUCUUAAUACCAAACUAAGCCUAAUACACUGAUUACUUUUCCAUUUCCAUCCAAGGGGUGGCCUUUUUUUUUUUUUUGUUGGUCCUUGUCCUUUUCUAGCCAUUUGUCAAAAUAUUGGGAGAAAAGGACAAAAAUUAGAAAAGGCUAAAAUGAAAAUAUGAUGUCCAUAUCCCAUCAUUUUUCAAUUGACUUGGAACACUUUCUUAUCCUAAUUAUUUGGCAUAUUUUUAUUAUUAUCGACAUUAAGUAUUAUUACGUAACUGUUUGCGCAAUUUUAGCAAAUAAAAAUUUUAAAAUUUAGGAAUAUUUCUUAUAUACCUUCUUGCUAUUAUUGAGAGUUUUAAAUUUUUAUCUAAAAUAUCCUUUUUCUGCGGUAGUAAACAUUAGUGGGAAAGAAUAUAUUCGAAGAAAUUUUUUAAAAGUAUAUCUCAAAAAAAAAAAAAAAAAAUUUUUAAAGUAAGAAGAAUAUGUUGGUGAUAGAUAAAAUAUUUUUAUAGUUUUUACAGGAUAUGUUAAAAAUUAUUCUUAAACUUUAUAUAAAGUAAUUAAAAUCUAAAACGAGUUUUUGAAUUUCCAAUCAAAAUUUUCAUUUAAACUCUUUCUACUUUUGCUGUAAAGAAAAAAGAAUAAUUUUUAACAAAAGAGUUGUUAGUGCCAGAACAAUUUUACAUAAACACCGCAUUUCUAAAUAUAUAUUAUAACAAAAAUAUAAAACGAGUGUCUGCAUCUCCUAUCAAAAUUCCCAAUAAACUUUUUUUUUAAUUCUUCUUUAAAAGAAAAAAAAAAAACCCUUUCAUAAUUGAUGUUUCCGUCAUAAAGAUCCCAAAAAGAAAAAAAAAAUUUAAGAAACUUAAAAAGUUAUAAAAAUAAUAGACUAAAUUAUAGAAAAUUUUUCUGUUAAAAUUUGAUUUUUUUACCUUUGACGCUGUCAUGCAAAAAUCAAUACUUUGCCCUUUAAAAAAAUAAAAAUAUUUACAUGAGGAUAUGGUAUUAAUUUUGAUGAUAAAAUGACCAAAUUGUCUCUUAUCUUCUUCGUCUCCUCCUCAAUUCUGCUCAUUCGCAGCUUCUUUUCCUCCCUGUCUCUGUCAACCCCAGCUCUGACUCUAUUUCCUCUAUUUGCUCCCUCGCUCCUCCAGCACCUUCGCCACCCUUUCAUUUUGGCGACUGUAGAGAGAAAAUCAGAGUGGGCGUGGACAUAAAGGUAGACGAGGGAGAGGGUGAGACAACGGAAGAGGGCGGGAGCGUGUGUGUAGAUACGGACAGAGGGGUAGGCGAUGACGAGAUAGAGGAGGGCGAGACGGUGCGGCCGAGGGCGUCAGUGAGGAAGGGAGAGGUGCAUCUGAUAUGAAAAUUUCAAAAAUAUUUUAGAUAUAAAAUAAAUAUAUAAUAAUAGAAUAUAGAAAUAAAUUCUUACAGAACACUUACAGAGAGAUCGAAGUGAACAUUUCUCAAUUUUUAUGAAGACAAAAUAUAGAUUUUCAAAAAUCAGUAAAGAAGAGUGAAAAAAACGAAUAUUGACGAAAAAAUUUACUAUAAUUUACCCAAAAUAAUAAUAAUAAUAAUAAUAAUAAUAAUAAUUAAAAAGAAAGGAAAAUACAAACAAAGCAACCUUUCACUAUCUUAUCUCAUCAUCAUCGUUACAAAUCGUACCUUAUUUUUUCGUAUUUUCAAACACACAGAUGUCAAUUCUUUCUUCAUAAUCUCUCUUACCAAGUAAUGAAAACGAAUCAAUCGUAUUUCCAUGUUGUCCGAUUGUGGGAAACUCGAAACCAUCUUCUUCUUCUUUUUCAAAAAAAAAAAUUGCACUACACAUAAAUUAGUUAUCAAACUAUGUAUAUUAAGAUGAAUAAACUAUUCUUGAAGUAUACAAGUUAGAAAAUUAACGCCAAAUUAAAAGAUUUGAUUAGAGGAGUUAUAAAUACACACAUAAAUAUAUAUAUAUAUAUAAUCUAGGGUUUCUAACUAAUUAAACUCCUUCGUGUAACUGUUUUUAGAGAGAUAUAUACUUGGACACGUCUCUUCUUUUAACAACCAACACAUCAUACAAAUAGUUUUUAGUGAAUUAUUAUUAGAAUUAAUAUUCCAUCUCCUAACACCUCGUUCACAUUUACAUCAUUAUCAUAUGAAUCGUCAUCAUCAUCUCUUGCUCACGGCAUACAUAGUUUAUUUUGAUUAGAUUUUUAAAACAUUUGGCGAAUCUAAUUUGUACUUUUAUUGAGGAAUUUUGACUAAUAAAUUCUAUUUUAUUUUUUCAAUAUUUUUGUCCUCAUGGCAUAAAAUGAUUGAUUCUUCAGACAAAAGUACAUAAUACGGAAAAAAAAAAUAUUUAAUAAGCGUAAUAAUGAAGUUACUCUCGAAAUUGCGAUAUGGAAUCAACAUCUAUAUGUGCUUAGGUAAAUAAAUGGAAACUUAAUCUCAGUCGCAAACCAUUUACUUCAUUUCUUUUGUGGAUUUAAAAUUUCUUUUACAACGCAUGCCACAAAUUAACACAUUACUUACUCAAAUACUGAAUGACUGAGAUCGAGACUUAAUUUAAACUCAUUUUAUAAUUAGUGCGAUUUUUAUCUGAACCGAUUGGUAUCAUAACUCCGACAUUAAAGAAAGAGAUGCAUAGUUCGAGAAAAAAUUGGCUAGACAUAACUAAACAUUAUGAUUAUCCCAAUCAGGUGGCAUUUCCUUUUCUUUCUCCUUUCAUCAUCUACUCACUUUCUAGCUAGAAGGCAAGUGAGAUUCUGCUACUCUAUAAAAUUUAAAUAUAGAGAGAGAGAUGGAGAGGGAGAGCACACACUAGGCUAAAAUAUUUCUAGAUGUAACCAGGUCUUGUUUAUUGUCACGUUGUUUCUCGCGAUAGGACAUCAAAAUCGAUACCAUCUGAACUUUGCAGGUUCUCAAUUUCACAAUUUUAUGAUAUUAUUUAUCUAAUGCUCAAAUAUUUUUAAAAUUGAUAGUUUUUAGUAGCUAAUAUAAAAGUAAAUUUAAGACAAUUUGGUCAUUUGAUAAAUGAUAUUUAAUAAUAAAAAAAUUAGUUUCUAAACAAAUUUAAAUAGUUUAAAUUAUAGUUAAGAGUACCAAUCAUCCAUUUUGAUACCCCACCAAAGAAAACAACGUGAAAAUAAACGAUCUAUUUUAGAAGAAAUAAAUAGCCCCUCUCUCUCCCUCUCGUCUCUAAAUAUAUAUAUAUAUAUAUAUAUAGAAUUAUGCUACUAUACUAUCAAUAAUACCGAGCCCUUAGUACUAUUGAGUUUUCGGCCGUUGGAUGAAAAGAUGUGCUGUUAGGAUGAUAGUGGUCCCCGGUUAAAUUAAUAGUAAUCCCCUAGGGUUGAGUGGGUGGUUGGUUUAAUAGUAUAAUCUAACGGGUGGAAAUGAUCAAAUGGUAGAUCUAACGGUAGAAAACUCAAUAGUACCUAGGGCAUGGUACUAUCAAUAGCAUAGUAGCCGAACUAUAUAUAUAUAUAUAUAUAGUCCGGCUACUAUGCUAUUAAUAGCACGAAGCACUUGGUGCUACCAAAUUUUCCGCCGUUAGAUCUAUUCUUUUGAUCAUUUUUAUCCGUUAAAUCAUACUAUUCAAUCAACCACCCACUCAACCCUAGGGGAUCCAUAUCAUUCUAACCGCACAUCUCUUAAUCCAAUGGCCAAAAACUUGGUAGCAUCAAUGUCUUGGUGCUAUUAAUAGCAUAGUAGCCUAGUUCAUAUAUAUAUAUAUAUAUAGUAUGUCUUCCGUACUUUUAAAAAUACGGAGGCUUUCGUAGUUGUAAGUUGUUUUUGAUGAUUGGACAUUCGAUUCGAUGAUCAGCCCCAUUAAGUAUAAUCUACAUUAUUGAAACUAUUUAGAAACCAAAUUUCAUAAUUUUUCGACAUCAUUUACCAAGCGAUCAUAGGGUCUCAAAAAUGACUAUUUUAACGGUCAAUAUGACACGUUUUUAAGUUCAACGGUGUAGAAGUAUCCAAACUAUAUGAAAAUUUAAUAGAAAAUUCUACUUAACAUUAAGAAUAAGAAUAAUAUUUCCGAUUUGAAAUUUGAGUCCUUAAUUUAUCACUAUUUUUUAUGAGUUUUUUUAUUUUCACCUAUUCAUUUUGAGACUACUCGUUCACUAGGCAAAUAAAGUCAAAAAAUUAUGAAAUUUGAUUUCUAAAUACUUACAAUAGCGUAGAUCAUGUCUAAUAGAAGGCGUUAGCCAAUUCCCACCGGUAGGGAAACUAUUACUUCAAUCAAUUCCAUCAUAGCCCUUGAAUCAAGACUUUCUUACCCACUGGCUCUUUCGCUGAACAACCCUAAGGCAGCAGCGACGGAGGCACUAAGAGUGGUCUUUCUCCCCGCCCUUAUACUUAGAUCGAGAUAUUGGACAUAGAAUGCCAAUCUUUAAAAUGUAAAAAAAAGGAGUAAUCAGCUGUGACAUGUACACUAAAAAAAAACCCCAAAAGCCCCGAGCCAUUCUGAGCCUUGGAUCUCACCUGAAUCGCCCCACCUAUCCUCCUGAGGAAAAGUUUGGUUUCAAACUCCGAUUCAAACAGGAGGAAUUGAAUGUCUUAUUAUCGAAAAUAACUUACAAGCACGAAAGCCUCCGUACUUUCGAAAUCAAGCACAGGAGCCUAACUCCAUAUAUAUAUAUAUAUAUAUAUAUAGAGAGAGAGAGAGAGAGAGAGAGAGAGUAAUGCCAAAGAGAUGAGGCUCCAAAUUUUGCACAACAUAUUUAACAUGCCUUACAUGAUUAGCAUAUCAAACAAGGAUGAAAAACAAUGUAUUAAUUUCUAGAUUAACAUAUAGGGUGAAUUUAAAGUUAAUGUCCACUAAUUUGAAACUCAUGCAAAACGUAUUAUUGACAACAAUGUAGAAACACUGGCCACUAUAUAUCAGUUAAAAUUCUGCUCACAGCUUUCUACUGCAGCGAAAACAAAAAUUCAAGAGUAAAACUUCUGAUUCACAUAAGUUCAUUCCAAAGUAACAAUACUGAUUUUCAGCGCUUUUUUUUAUUAGAAAACUAUUUCAGAAGCUAUGUACUUAGAAUUCUAAAGGCUUAGCUUCAAGAUCUAAAGUGAAACAAAAACAAAAUCUGCUGCAAUAUUUGAUGUUUUAAUUAAUUAAUUGACUACAAAGCUAAGGGUUUAUAGUCACAAGCCAUAUAUAAAUAACUCUUGACCAUGCCAAAAAAUAGAAAAAAAGAGAACACAUUUAUCUAUGUAUUUACAACAAUAAAAGGAGCCCCCCUCUAAAAUCUCAGUUGUCAACUUUGUUAUAAAAUGCAAAUAAAAAGAGCAAAAAACUCAAUACACUUCACCCUUAAUUCCCCCUCUCUCUACAAAUAGACGAGAGAGAGAGAGGGAGAGGGAGUGAGAAAGUGAGAGAGUGAGAGAGAGAAAGAGAAAGAGACAACCCUACCCAAUGUUCCUACCUACAUUAUAGCCACAAAAAAAAGAAAAAGAAAAAGAGAGUAUUUACAAGAACAUGCAUGGGCCCAUGCACGUAGUGGCAUGCAUUGAUGACCAUUUAGAGGCUAGCUAGCCGAUGGCGGCCGGGGCGGGGCGGUGGGGGCGAAGGGGAAGAGGCGACCGCCGGGUUUAGAGAACAAAGCGGCGAAGGACGAAGGGGUGGGCCGCGGCGGCCGCCUUCAGCGCCCGCAGCUCCGCCACCUCCCGCUGCAGCCGCCGGUUCUCCUCCGUCAGCGUCUCGCAGCACCGCUUCAGGUACUCGCAGUCCACCUCCGUCUGCUUCAGCUUCGUCCUGCAACUUUUCAUUUCAGUAACACUGAAAAAAAUAUACGUAACUUACCUGAAAUAUAGAUCAUUCUCAUUUGAAUGCUCAAUUUUUACUGAACUUUUCAAUUUAAAUGAUUAAAAUCAAUCAACGAUAUUUAAACUUCAAAAUUUAAAAUAUAUUACUUUUCUUUAUAAAUUUAAUUAGUGUAGUUCGUACAACUCAAAUUUAAAUUACUGUUGACCUUAAAUUUAAAAAGGAUGGACACCCGAUUUAAAAUGACACAAGGAGCAUUUUAAUUAGCAUGCAGAGAUAAUUCACUUCAUGGAUAAUAUAAUAAUAACUACAUGAAUAUGAAUAUAUAACAAAUAAAACAAAAGAGUCACAUCAGUAUUAAUGCACAAGUUAUAACUUUUUUAAAGGUUUUGAAACUUACUAAAUAAAUUGGCAACGACCAAAAAAUGAUUGUAGCCUCUAUAAUUCCUCAUAUAUCCGAGAAUUUAUUUAACAUAAUAAGAACCUUGGUUAAUUUUGUGAGAAAAUUACCAACUUUAUAAUAUGCUGAUAAAAAAAAUUUACUGCUCCAUCGUUCAAAAUGUACAAGUUCAAACACUUUAAAAUAUUCAAAAACCCUUAUUUGGAUACACUGUAAUUUCAUUUUUUGGAUACAUUUUUUUCACCUUAAAACAAAGCGCGUGUGUGUGUGUGUGUGUAGUUCUCUUUUGCAAAAACAUUAGAGCCCACCAAAUCUAGUAAAUUUUGUCGAAUUCAGUAAUUAAAAUCAAAAAUAAAUUAAUUAAGUGCUACAUUCUAAACUGAAAACUGUAUAGCAUAAUUGGCUUCUUUUUUUUUUUCAAAAUGUUAUGAAAUUUUUCUCAAGGAUAUGUAGCCACCCAUAAUAAAUUAAAUUUAAUACAAUGGGGUUCAAUUAAUGCCCCAUCCCAAAAGAGUAUAGGGGACAAACCACAAUCCCCUGUUCUACUUUAUUAAGACACACUCAAAUUUAAUAUAUGUAGAGCAUUAAAUUUUAAAACUCUUCAAAUAAUUAAUUAAUUAAUUAAUUAGUUAAUUAAAAAUUAAAUUAGAAGAUAAAUUUUUUAAAAAAAAAUUAGGAAAAGUACCUGGCCCUUCUAUUCUGAAACCACACUUCCACUUGUCGUGGCCGCAGGUUGAGCUGCUUCGCCAGAGCCAGCUUCUGCUUCUGGUCAAAAUCAAUUCCAAUCAAUUUAAAUUUUGUUUAAACUUUUUAAAUUUUUGGUUAUUUUGAAACCAAUUGUGUUUGGUUUUAGAAAAGAGUAAUAAAUACUUACUGGGUUGAGGGUGUUGUGCUCUUUGAAGCUCUCCUCAAGGAACGCUGAUUGCUCUUUGGAGAGGCGCAGCUUCUUCCUCCCCAGCCCGUUCUCGUCCUCGUCGCUGCCCUUCGACCCCGCCCUCUCCCCGUCUCCGCCCGCGGGGCUCCCCCCCGGCUUAGGGGCGGAGACGGCGCUGUUGUUCGGGGACGGCGACAUCGCCGUUCCCUCCUCUGUUUCCUCCAGCAGCAGCGGCGGCGGCGGCGGCGGACGAUUCACGUCGAAUCGCUGUAUCGCGACAUCGACGUUCCCUGCAUGAAAUUCUAAUAUUAGAAUUCGCCGGGGGUGUCUACCAAAUAUAUACAUCGGAAUUAAAAAUUAAUUGAAUCAUGUCACGCGCACCGACAAAUAUAAAAAAAAAAAAAAAAACCAAAAACUAUUGAACAUUAGAUAUUCAUCAAAUAUAAUAUUUUGGAAUAAAAAUCAGAUAAAAAAGAACUCAUAUAUUACUUACUAUCCAUAUCUCCCAAGUUACCUCAAAAUCAUAUCUCAAAAACUCCUCUAAAAAAUGGUGACCAAAACAAAAAAAAAAAAAAACAAACAAAACCAAAAACCAAAAAAUCAUCUCAUUUCUCCAAAAUCACCUCAAAAUCCAAAAAUAAAAGAAGGAAUCUUUAAAACUACAUAGCAAACAAAAGCACAAGAAACAAAAUUCUAUCCUCAAAAAGUUCUUAGAUAUGGCAAAAUGAAAUCAGAGAGAGAGAGAGAGAGAGAGAGAGAGAGAGAGAGAGCUCUUACUAGUCUCAAGAGGAGCCCAUGGGGGGAGGAACCCAAGGAGGCUUUUUGGAGAAGCACUUGGAGGCAAGAGGCUUAAACUCACAAGGGGGUCACCAUAUCCACCUCCUCCUCCUCCUCCUCCACCACCACUCCUUUCUCUCUCCUCUCUCUCCCUGAACCCCUUGCUCAUCACUCUCACUACCUCUUCCUCCUCCUCCUCCUCCUCCUCCUCUUCUCUCUCUACCUCCUCUCCACCUCUCCCAUACCCAACUCGUAAGCUCAAACCCAACUCCAUGCUUAGAGGAGAGAGAGAGAGAGAGAGAGAGAGAGAGAAAUGAGUAUAGAAAUAGAGAGAGAGAGAGAGAGAGAGAGAGAGAGAGAGGAAGGGGUGAGGAAGAGGAGGUGGGGUGGUGACUUUAUAAGAGAAAAAAUGGGUGCGAGCCCGAGCUAGAGUUUGACCGACAAAAACCACGUUGACAAAGCACACGUGACCCGGAAAAGGAAACAGGAAAUGUUGUGUAAAUAUUAUAUAAUAAAAGAAAAUAAUAUAUAUAUAUAUAUAUAUAUAUUUAUAUAUUUAUAUAUGUAUAUAAGUGUACAUAUUAUUAAUAUUAUUAUAAUAAAUGAUAGUAAUAAUAAUAAUUAUGGUGAUGAUGAUGAUUGGGUUGGGGACAGAGCUUUGGACUUUUUGUGUGUUCACAAACCCAAUAUCUCAUCAAAAAGCCGAAUCUACAGUGGCUCAUAUAAUAAAAAUAAAAUCUUAAAAUGAUUAUGUACUCUUCUGCAAAACUCCUGAUUUAUUAUUAAUUUAAUCUAAAAAGCAUUUCAAAGAUUUGAUUAUUUUAUAACAAAUACUAAGGUACCUGCAACAUAUUUUGAAAAUACAAGUAUCAUAUAAUUGUACAUGAACUAUUUGUGCAUUUAUAUAUGAAAAAAAAAAAAGUUACUUGUACACUCUCAAAAGAAUUUACGAAAUGUUUAUCAUACAUCUCCUUUAAAAUAUAAUAUAUGUAACAUUUUUCGUUGUAUAUAUUUUUUAAAUUAUAAGGAAAUCCUCAAACUACAAUAAAUUUAUUAGGGAUAAGGGAUCAAAUCUAGUGUAAUUAAUAAACCUCCACUACUCCCCAGGACCCUUCUAAUUUAAUGCUAAGAUAAAGAACAGGAGCUUUUCAUGCAAAUGUCAAAAUGUUAAACCCAUUUGUGGUAUAAAUUUUAGAAAAAACUUCAAAUACUACACUCUGAUUUUACUUUUUUUCACUUUGGAAUUUUUUAGUUUAAAGUGUAUCAAUUUAGUACCCUAUGAUUUUAUUUUUUUCUUUUAUUAUUUCUUUUCAAUAAUUUUUUUUCGUUAAAUCAGUGAUAAGUUAAAACUAAAAGAUACGGACUAAAGUUAAUAUUUGAUAAACCUAAAUGGAAUAUCUAAAGUUUUUGGUAUAUAAUUUAAAAAAAUGUUAACGGAUGAGCUGAUGAAAAGAGAAAAAUGAAACCACAGAAUAUUAAAUUGAUAUACUUUAACUCGCAUAAUCUUAAAGUGAGAAACUGCGAAACUAUAUGAAUGAUAUUUAAAGUCUGUCCUAAAUUUUAUAACUUUUUAUAUACGUUGGUUUUUAAUUAUUAUAACUAUAAUUAUCAUUAUGCACAUGAACCAAGCUUUUUUGUUUUCUUAAAAUUAUAAAAAUAAACUACUCAAUUAAAACACUCCACAUUAUUAUAUAAAUUUUAAAAAUCUACUUCUAUCUUCUAUCUUCUUUCUUUCUUUUUUUCUAUUACAUUAAAGGAGGGUUGGGGAACCUCAGGAUGACACCUGUCCCCCAACCCUCCACUUCAUUCUCUCUCUCUCUCUCACACACACACACACACACACAUAUAUAUAUAUAUAUAUAUAUAUAUAUAUAUAUAUUAUAUAUAUAUAUAUAUAUUAUAUAUAUAUAUUAUAUAUUAAAAUUAAUUAUAUUAUAUUAAUUAAUUUUUUAAUAAAUUGUAUAACAGCUUUUGUAAUUAAAUUUUGAUAUCAAAUUUUAAAUUUUGAUACUUUCAAAUUUUAAAAUUUUUAAUUUUUAAUUUAUUAUUUUAUAUUUUAAAUUCUAAAUUUUAAUUUUAACUUAUAAUAUUUAUUCCCAAUUUUAUUAAUAAUACGCAUAAUAAAUCACGUAAUAAAAUCUAAUCUGAUAGAUUAAUUUAAAUCACGUAAAAUAUCGUUGUAUAAAAAAAUAUAUAUUAAAUUUCAGGAGUAAAUUUUAGAAAUAUAGUGUAUUUCUGUUUAUAUAUAAUUAAUUUUAUUAAACAAUUUCUUUUACAAUUUAUUUUCCUUCUAUUUAUUGAUUUUUUAAAUUAUUGAUAGAUUUAUUUCAAAUCCUUUGCAUAAUACUGUGCGCGAUAUCAUCAAUUUUAAUGACUUUUAUUUAAAUAUAUUUAACUAUUAAAUUAUUUUUAUAUAACUUUUAUUUAAUUAAUAAUUAAACUUAUAAAAUUAUAUAAAAAUAUUAAAAAAAAGUAAAUUUAUUAUAAAAAUAUUUUUAUAUUUUUAGCAUCACGCGGGUAUUUCACUAGUAUAUUAUUAUGUGUAUGUGUAACAAAUGCUUAUUGUACUCCUCAAUAGUAGUUUUUAUGUGCAAACAAUGGGGACAAAUUGAUGGCUUUGUUCACUUGUUUCAAUCAUAGGCUAUGAUGGCUACUAUUUAUGUACUAUGGAUGAAGGGCAUGCACAUGAUGGGUUGUGGUUAGAAAUUAAUAAUGGGUCAUGAAUAAUUUGUUCCCACAACAUAAGUUUUUUAAUUAUUACUUACAUGAUAUCAUGUCCACAAGAGAAAAAAAGAAAAAAAGAAAAAAAAAAGUGAAACUAUUGCUUGUGCCUAGAGUACCUUUACAAGUCAUGUGUUGCAUUAAAUAUUUAGUGAUCAAUAUGUUAAAACUAAAACUAAAUUCUUAUCUAUAAGGUGUGAAGGAUCUGCUUAUAAAAAUUUAUGAACAUUGAUAAUAUAAUUAUCUAACCAUUAAUUAAAUAGUAUCAAAAUCAAUUACCUCGAAAAUUAGAGGAUAUUGCUGGAAUUUUAGCAGUACAGUGCGUGGCUCAUCGAUCGAGUGCAUUGUAUAGAUCACCCAAUAACAUUAACUUUUUAGAAUAAGUAUAAAUUUAUUAUAUAGAAAAAAUUUUAAAUUGUCAUCCUAGCAAGCGAGUUAGCGUAUUUUUAAUUUAAUACUCAGCGGUUUAAAAUAUUUUACUUUUUUAUCCUGUAAUUUUAUUUUUAUUCUACUAUUAAGAUUCGUGAUUAAGUAGAAAAUUAAAUUGAUAUAUUUUACCAAUCACAUGAUGGGUGUAUAAAAAUAAAGGUUACGAAAAUACUGUAAGUUGUCACUAUAUGAUUCAUAAAUUACAUUAAUUUACUACCAUGUAGUUUAUAAAUUUUAUCAUUUUAGUAUUGUCCGAAAUUGGUCUAACUUCCUGUUCCGUAACAAGAGGCUCGAAAAACUAAUAAUUUGAGUCGGAUGAAUCUAAUAAGUUAAAUCGGGUUGUUAUUUAUAUUAGACCUAACGUUCAAAUGGAUUAAGUAAGGUCGAAACAUAUGAAACGCUAUGGUUGAGCCCUCAAGUACGAUAAGUGCAGCUUUCUUAGCAGUAAAUGUUUUUGAAAUAGUUGAUUAUCUCUUACAAUCCACAUGUAAUAGUUUAGUUAACAGUAGAUUUUAACAGCAAGAUAAAAAUAAAAGAAAAGAACAAACUAUAUGACACUAUACUGAAAAUGCGCUAAACCACGCGGAGCAAAUUAAAGGAUUUUUUAUUAUUUAUGAGAUAUCCUGCACACAAGAAAAUAGAGGAAAAUUGCAUUAAUGCAUGUAGCUCAAUAGAGGAGAAAAAAAAUUCAACAAGUGGUCCUCACAAUAAAAAGCAGUAACAUCAACAGGGAAUAAAGGCCAAAGAUCCUUAAUCAUAUCAUUGUUCCAUGUUGCAUCAUUUUGUACCAAGAAUAAAUGCGUAUUCCCAUUAAUUGCAUUGCUAAGUAUUCAAACCAAAGGGACAAUAUGUACCAAAAAAAAAAAUUCUAAAAAUUCAAAGAAGUAGUCAAUUUUAUGAAUUUUUCAAUAUUGUUUUAUUGAGUGAUUUGGAACCAAUUAUAUAUUAGAGAGGGAAAACUCAAUUAGUUGACUUUUGGGGGUUGACAAUGAUUUUUUUCCCUAAUUAAUACCAUCCAAUCCAUGUGUAUUGAUAAAUUAUACAGCUAUUAUACAUAUCAUUAAUCCAUUUUCAGCAUGAUAUAUAUUGUGUGCCUUCUUAGAUUUGAAAUUUUCAAAUAAACAACAUUUUUUUUAUAAAAAAAAAAGUUGAUUGAUACUUGUGUGCUUCUUUCAUUGAUGCAUGCAACAUAUUUUCUUCCAAUUUAUAAGAGAGAAAAUUAAUUUUUUGUUGUCAUUUACUUAGCGUACUAGCUACGACAUUUGCAGGAUGUUUUCAUUUGUGACACAUAUAUCAUAUGUAUGGAAGAAAAUUAUUAAAAAUUAACAAAAAAAAUUAAUUGCAUCGGCAGACCUGGCAGGUGUGACAACCCAUAAAAUUGACAAUGUGCAAGCGAUCGAUCGAUCGAUCAAAAUUAUUAUUCUCAAUUAUUAAUGGUAUUGGUGUUGUAUUAUUGCUAUUCAAAGCUAGCUACCUAAUUAAUUUCAUCUAAUUUGUUAUCAUAAAAUUGAAUAAAUUGGAGAUAUAAGGUAUAAAGUUGCCUCCCAACUUGGGUACAACCAUUUAUGAUGCCCACAUUAAUGGAUCUCAAUUAUUACUAUUAAUUUGUUAAUGAAUCUCAAUUAUUACUAUUAGUUUGUCAAGGAUUUAAUAACUUUUUUUGAACAUAAGAUUCCCCAUAUCUAAUGUUGGAGAUUGUAGGUUGUUCCCAUGUUGUGGGACUAGAAAUUAGCAUUUUCCCCUCUUAAUUAUACCUAUAUUUUAAAAUUAUUUGGAAAUUAAAUUUUAGUAAUAAAAACCACUUUCUUGAUAUAUAUAUAUAUAUAUACACACGCGCGCGCACAGAAACAGGACAUACAUCUUAUGCUAAUUCUUUUCACAUUUAAAUAGUAUUGGGUUAAAUUGUAAGUUUAGUCUUCAAACUAUAUAAGUGGAUGUGGUAUUUUGGUUUUAAAAUUUUAAUUUAUUAUAAUUUUUUUGUUCGAAUUUUCAGCAUUGCUGCAAUUAAGGUCUAUAAUCCAACUUAGUUGCCUAAAUAUUAAUAUAUCGUUAUAUAGAAGCAAUGCGUUAAAAUUUAGUCAGCUAAAUUGAAUUAUAAUACUGUAUAUAAUAAUUUUAAAAAUUUUAAUUGAAUAUUACGAUAUUCUAAAAUUUUAAAAUUAAAAUGUGACCUAUCUCAAACUAGUUUCAGGUAUAAGAAUCCUUGUUCUUACAUUAUUAUGAGAUUUUAUUAUAUAUGGAAAAAAAAAAUAAAUAAAAAAUAAAAUUGAAUGUUCAAGUGGGCCCAUAACGCCAGAAGUAUAUAUCCUAUUAUUAUUAUUACCACACGCAUCAUAUCCCAUGACAAAACAUUUUUUGAUAGCCGUUAGAAUCAUAGCCCUUGUCAGAGAGCGAAGAAGCAUCCUAAAUUCCUCCCAUCCCAUCAUUACUCCCCACCACCCCCUCGCACGUGACCCGUCACGUGCCCCGCCUCACCCUUAUCAAUGCGUCUCCCGCAUUCCGCAACCCGUAUUCAAUGCCCCGCACACGCGCGAACCCCACGGAUCCCUGCGCGCGCAUUUAACUUAAUUCGAUCACCCCCCUACCCCCUCUGACCACCGUCUGAUCAAAUCCCACUUCGCAUCCCAUCCCUCCGUUCGCUCCUUCCAAAAAAUAUACAAGAAUAACUUCAAACAUCACCCCGUAGUUUCGCACUUUCUUACUUUAGCACGCUACGAUUUAAAGUGUAUCAUUAUGUUCAUAUCUUGUGAUUUUAUUUUUCUCACAAAGUUAAAACUAAAGAGUAUUAAAGUAAAUAUCUGAAAGUUUUUUUUGUAUAUAAUUUAACGAAAAGUUAAGGGAGGGACUUACGAAAAAAUAAAAUAAAAUCAUAAAUUGCUAAAUUGAUGCAGGUUAAUUCACAUGAUACUAAACUGAAAAAUUACGAAACCACGUGGGUGGUAUUUGAAGUUUACGCAAAAUACAAUAACUCGCAAGAAAUUUAUUGAGCACUUGAUUGUAAUAAUAAUUGUGAAAAUUCAAAUUAGAAAUUAUAAAAAAGUUGGCCGUGUUCGAAAAAGACCAUUACCUUAACGAGUUUGCCGAUUGAUAUACUAUUAUAGACCGCGACAAAGUUAGAGAUAAAUUUUUAUUACAAUAUUGUUGUAACAACCUGAUAUACCAGCAAUAAAAAUUCGUUCGAUAUGACUGUAAUCAAGGAUUUAAGUGCCGUGGCACAGGGUCAUGCCGAAAAUUUGCCGACACGGUACGGUACUGUGCGGUGCGUGCCGAGCUGUGCCGAUACGUGUCAGUCAAAAAAUUUCUUAUGUGCCGACGCAUAAUAGCAUGAAAUAUUUAUUUUUUUUAGCAAUAAAAUAUUUUAACUAUUUAUUAUAUCUUUUUAUCAUAUAUUUUGAACUUUAUUAAGUAAAUUACUUAUUAAUUUAAAGAAUAGAGAAUUUUAAGCUAUGCCAUCAGUACAGGGUCUGUAUUGUGCCGGUAUCUUAUUGGUACGGUACAGCACAGUAGAUGCAGACCGUAUCGACGAAAACUUAAAACCUUGACUGCAACGACCUAAUACGAUAGUAAUAAUAAGUAGAUAGACCCAAAUCACUGGCUCCUCAUACAGACUUCUUCCGUUUAAAUUCCGACGUCCUCGUCAGCUUCAAUGGUAAAGAUGGCUCUUAAAAAUUCAAGAAAGUAGCCCUCACAAAAGUUGUAGUGUAGCAAUUUGUUGCGUAUAGUAUUUAACUCUAUUCGGUUCUAAUAAUAUAUAUGGGAAUACAUGGGGGCAGUUCACACCGGGAGCCACGUGGCGGGCCCCGGCUUCCGCCACGGUAAUCCGGAGCGUUGCGGUCGCGCUCAACCGGCGACCGGGCAUCACCGGUGAACGCGGGUCACACAUGUCACGCUCGGGGGGGGGCACCGCAAUUAUUGAAGUCAUGCGGGGGGAUUAAUGAUAGCGGGGUGGGGGCGCGCAGAGGAUGCAUGGGGCUCGUUAUUACUCAAUAGGUCCCCGCGGUGACCGGCUACCGCCCGUAGCCCUCACGCCACUCAUCGCCGCCGUUCGUUGGGUACGAAUGGACGGCCCAGAUCGGUUCGUCCAGUUGUGAAGGGACAGUUGAGGACCGUUUCGGUGCGGGUCUUGCACGGAGAUCCCUCACCUUUAGAUAAUUUUGAACUAGACCCCGCAACAUCAAUUUCUUUUUUCUUUCCCCUGCGGAUCUAUUAAAUUUAGUAAAACUUUUAAAAAAACAAAUUUAGAAAAUUUAAAUUAAAUAAUUAAAUAGCAAAAAACCUUAGUCUAUUCGGGGAAAGUUCGCAAGUUUUCGUAUUUAAACUCGACAUACAAUUUUAACGUGUUUAUACUUAACCGCCUAAAUUAUAUUUCUAACUUUAUUCUACUAUAUGAAAGAAUACUCCUGACAGUAAAAUAAAGUAUUAUUAUUUGAUUGCUAAAUAUUAAAGAUAAAUUUUUUUUUAUCUUUAAAAUAAAAAAAAUUGCUAUUUAGACCUGUUGCUUUUAUAUUGGAAUUUAGAUGGACACCCAAGUCUAGGAGAAGCAUAUCUUGCAUUUAUUUCUCAAAAUUAUAAAAAGGAAAUGUUGAGGGGCCGAGAUUAGAAUACCGUAAAAGUUGAGGGGGUUAGGGUAGAUUUUGAGCUACUUUUUACCUAAUAAUGUGGGGAUGAGGAGCGGUCCCAUCAAAGCUUUUAUUAGGGAAAAUCUGGGGUGCGAUUCUCUCCCACAUCCGAGAAAAACCGCGAAGCUCUUCGGUGCAACGGUGACAUGUCACGGCGGGGAGCGCGGGCCCCGCACGUCAGCAGCAUGGCAGUGAUAUGCGGCGGUGACAUGGAGUGCGGGGGCGCGAUUAUAGAGGAGAGGGGACCGUCGUAGUCAAAGCGGUUGAUGGGACGUGCGGGAUAUGCAAUCAUAGGUACGGGAGAGCGGGUGGGGGCCCCUGUGAGAACGUAGGCCAGCCGACAACCGUCUGAUCGCGAUCAGAGGGUCGGGCGGGGCGAGAUUUUUUGUCAGGUGCCACGUGGCGUGCUGUGAUUGGGUGCCGAUUUAAAUUAUGCGUACUCAGACCGAGAUAUUAUUUCGUGAGCCGUGGCCUAUAGACCGACAUGCUUUGCGUGUCCCCUUUUUUUUUUUAAUUUUUUCUUUCUUUUUUUUUUAUGUAAUUUGUUGUUGCUCCUACAACAGCUCAGAUUGAAUACGUAGACCGAUCAAAAUCUUUUAUAUUAUUAAUAUGCAAAUACAAAACCAAUCCGUAAAGUAAAAUUUUACUAUUAUUUAUAGCAUUGUAAAUUUGAUCACGUUAAAUAAUUUAUGUUUGGAGGAGUUAUUUGGCUCCUAUUAUUCGACAUGCUGGUGCUGUUAGUUGCAGCUAUAAUCUCGUGUCUUUUUUUUUUUUCUGUACAUAAAUUUUUUUUUAGAAAAAAAUUCUCAUAUUAUACCGAGACACUAUUUCAUCACAUAGUACGUAUUAUAUUAUACAGAUCAUGUAGCGAAGUAAAACAGAUCUAAAAAUUCUUCAAAUGUGAUAUUAUGUGUAUGUCGUGAUUUGAGUCUAGGCUUUAAGGUGGCAUUUGGAAUGGAUACAAAAAGGGGGAUAAGGGGCUUAUCCCUUCUCUUAUACCGAAACAAAAAAAUUACUAGGUGGGAACUAUACUUCCCAUCUCAACGGGUUAUUCCAGAAAUAAUCCGCUAAAGGUGGGAACUAUAGUUCCCACUUGUGGUGGGAACAAGCUUGUUCCCAUCUUAACGGGUUAUUUUAGGAAUAAUCCGCUAAGGGUGGGAACUAUAGUUCCCACUUGCGGUGGGCACCCACGGCAGAGAGAGAGAGAGAGAUUAAAUUAGAAUUUAAAAUUUUAAAUUUUAAAAUUUAUAAUUUUAAAAUUAAAAUUUAUAAUUUAAAAUUUCAAAAUUUGAAGUUUAAAUUUUAAUUUUGAUAUUUCAAAAUUUUAAAUUUUAAAAUUAUAAAUUUUAUAUUUUAUAUCUUUCAAAUUUAAAUUUGGUCUUAAAUUUAAAAUUUUAAAAUUUUAAUUUUAAUUUUGAAUUUUAAUUUCAAAUUAUAAAAUUUAAAAGUUAAAAAUUUAAAAUUAAAAUUAUCAAUGCAAAAUUUAAAAAUUUAAAAAUUUAAAUAUAAUAAGAUGAGUAAUAUCAUUAUCUUCAAUUUAUAACUACCAAUUAUUCUUUUUAUUAUAUCUUAUCUAUCCAAACGUUAUUUUUUUAUUUUCGGGAACAACCAAAUUUCAUCCAAACAUAAAAUUGGUCUAGUUCUCCUUAUAUCUAAACUUGUACCUAUUCCUACUAUAAGUUAGUUCUUACUUAUGACCGAACCAAACGAAACCAUAAGACUUCUAUGAUCUUUGAAGAAUCUAAUUUCCGAGAACGCGGUUUGACUUACUGCACUACGCGCGCAGAAGAAAAAUCAUGGAGCACUCUGGCUGCUGCUGCUGCUGCUGCUGCUGCUGCUGAUGAACGGCGAGUUCGCUGUAAAAUUCGUUGACCCUUGAUGUUGUGUGAGCCACUGGUUGUGAGGGGGGCAUUGAAAUUUAAGAUCAGGUAGUUAAGUGUGAUUGUACAGAAGAUUCAAAUGUGGCUGCCAUAGUAUACCAACAUUUAUUUGGAGAAUCCGAGGUACCUAUCACAUUACGCUACCAAUCGAUCAACUUCAUGCUGGACCGCAACUAAUUCGUCCAAGUAAUUUUCAAAUUAAUAUAAUAAAAUAUAAUUAAUAAGUCAGUUUUGAAUGAUUAAAUCUUAUAUAGACCGAGGUCAUAACGACACUUUAAUUAAGCUCAAUGCCAAUGAUACAAUGAUACUGUAUACUUUCAACGAGCCAACUAGCAUCAUGUUAGGAGCCGAAUUUCCGUCCUCUUUGACCCGAUUAAAGAUCUUUCUCGGAAAGCGCGUCGGGAAGCGAAACGGCUACGAUUAGUGAUCCUCGAAGUUUGCGUUCUUCGACUGAAUCAAGCGAUUCGGCUGACGAGGGAUCGGAUCAGCCGAGUUCGAAAAUCUUUACUGUAAACUCGGUUCGGCUGAAAGAGCCGAAUAGAUGAAAUGUACAGUAAUUGGUCGGCUGAUGAGUCGAAUAUAUAAAAUACACAAUAAUUGGUCGGUUGAAAGAGCCGAAGGCCUUUAUAUAUUAAUAAAAUAGAGUGUGCCCGAAGAACAUACAGACUCUGAAAAUCUAGUUUACAAUAGAGUGUGCCCGUGGGACAUACAGACUUUGCUAAUAUAGUUUACAACUGAGUGUGCCCGUGGGGCAUAUAGACUACAUAAAUCUAACUUAAAACUACUCCUAAAAAAACAGUAAAUGCGGAAAAGAAAAAAAUUACAUUUAGACUAUUCCUAAAAAAAUGAUAAAAUUGUAGAGGAAAUAAUGAUAGUCUUCUCAUUCGAGGAGAAGAAAUACUCCUAUUGGAGGUUUCGAAAUUACUAUUUAUAGUAACAUCAACUCACAUUAUUGGUUGGUUAAAAGUAGUGGAGGGAGUGGUUAUAAUAAUGAUGAUGAAAGUUAUGCCCCAUUUUUUAUGGAAGUUAUGCUCCAUUUCACAUAAAAGUUACGCCACACUUCUCAUAAUAGUUAUACCCCACUUCUCAAUCGUUCCCGCCUAAAUGCUCUUGAACUUUAGGCGUCUUAUUGCCGACUCCUAGUGUACCACAUGUCCUUAUUUGUUUGGCUCAUACGUGGGCUAUGUUGACGUAUUGAUUUUAAUUUUGGCAUUAAAACAUCAUAUGUGAGAUUGAUAUACGAAUAUUCAGGUGAAAAUAGUUAGAAUACACUCUGAUCAAUUAAAUUCGAUGCCGGAUUUAAUAGAAUACCAAUACGGAUGUGAAAAUCUAGUAUCGACAACGUAUUCGUAUCUGAAUUCACAUCCGAAAAGAAAUAUAGAUGUAGAUAAGGUUUUGUCAAAAAUCAGAUUGCAUUCAAUCGUUUUCGCCCCUGGAAAGCAAGGAUCUUUAACCCCAACGGCAAAGCUACGUUGGAUGAAAGAAGUGAUUUUCCAAUAUGUUUUUUUAUAAUAUAUGCAAUCAAAGUUUGAAUAUGAUUACAUAUUCUUACUUAUAUAGUGUCUCAUUCGUGCCAAUUUUAGUUUAUAUUUAUUUAUAUAUGUUAGUAUAUAAUAUUAUGUGAAUAACAAAAUAAAAUGAACGAAGCAGGAAGUAUAAAGUUAUUUUUAGCACAUAAAUUAACAAAGAUAUAACACCUAAUACAUAUCCGUAUCCGUAGAAAAAUAUAAAUACGGAUAUCGUUUUGCGAAAAAUCCAAACAUAUACCGCUGUUUUCAUACCUACAUAAAAUGAAUAUUAGGGACCGAAAAAAAAUAUAGUUAAAAUUCAGGACCGAUGGAGCAAUUAUCAAAUGACUCCGCACUGACCCGCGGGUCAAUCACGGCCCCACGAGCCACCCAACGUCAUCGCUCGUCACGUGACUGACGCGUGCGUCAGGUCACGUGAUCUCGACACGCGGCGAAGCGUGAUUGGGUGGAGUGGAUGUUGCGUGUGCGACGGGGACAAGGGGAUCGUGGGCGACCCCAUGCGGCGUCGGGUGGGGACAGCUGUCCUAUACGAGGGGACAGCGUCCCCAGUAGCAAUCAUUAGGACGGUCCAUCCCUACGCUCACGGCUCACCGCUCCGUGGGCCCCACGCGCGCAAUUAUUUCCCCAUUGAUUGAUAUGGGCCUCCUCCCCUUUCGCUGUGGGGGGUCACCGUACCCUUACGCUCACUUGGCGGUGACGGGACACUGUGGACCAUCCCCUGUACUCCCUGUCCUCAGUUAACUUUACUCCGUAGGCCGCGGUCUAUACACCGGAUCCCGAGAAACCGCAAUUUCUCUGGCUCGUUCGCGGGAAAACUCGGACGGUCUACGAUGCGCGGUCCGUGGACUAAUUUCACGGGCUCAUCACCGUCCAUUUCGUCCCCAGAUACGGACACUGUUGCGGGGAGAUCCGCGACGUGACGGAACGGGAGGGGGAUCUGCGGCCGUUGGUUUCCGUGGGGUCUACCACGUCGACAGUUGACCGAUUGAACGGUGGGUGAUGGUGGACCACUCGCUGCUACAGUGUUCCGCGGAGCGACGCACUUCGUACUCAUCGUACUCAUCAUUUAUGGAGUGAAAAAAAAUGCCCACGAACCCCCUCGACUAUCGCCAAUUUGGACAUUAGACCCCUCCUUCAUAUUUUAACCAGUUUCAUCUAGUUUAGCCCACAUGCGCGAGCUCUUUAACAUUUUCAAUAAUUUUUGGCUUUAAAUUAUAUAUUAUAUUCUCUUUGUCUAAUAUAUGAUUCAAAAAAAUAUUACAUUACUGAUAUGUUAACACUAUAAUAUGAAUGAUUAUAGUGCACAGUAUUUAAGAUGCUAUAUAAAUUUGUCAACAUAUUAAUAACUUAUGAUAUAAUGUGACCUUAUAAUAAUACUAUAUAGUUUAAUGAGGUUAAUUUAUUAUAAGUCUGACCCUUUUGGCGGCAAUCUGGUGGGUCGUAUGGACGGAGCGAAACAGCACUAUUUUCCGCAAAGUGCUUCCCGAUGCCUCCCGAGCUCUCGAACGUGUCGUGUCUCUGAUCAAAUCUUGGACCAAAGUUCUGUGAAUCUAGACUGUUACUUUCAUUCAUCCACCUCUCGGGCUUUCUUCUUUUUCUUCUUUUUUUUUUUCCUCUUUUUGCUAGCUUAUUUGGAGGCCCUAGCUGCUUCCACCAUUUAUGCUUAGUUCAUUGCUUAAUGAAUGAAGCAGAUAGCUUUCUAUUUAUUUUUCAAAAAAAUUUAUUAUAAAUAUUUAGUCCAGUAACAAGUUGAUGAUAAGUGAAGCACUAUCACGGUAUUCCAAGUCCAAUCAUACUUUUCAUAUGAUUGCUCCCAUUGGUGUAUUCAUUCAUCAACAUGCUAGGGAAUGUUUUUUUUUUUUAAAAAAAAAUUGAAAUUGUGAUGAAGAAAUAAAAAGGUGAUCAGUUAAAAUUAGGCCGUACUCGCACGCAUGCAUGCUGUGUGAAAAAUCAAUGUAUUUGAAAAGCAAGGGUAAAAUAUAUGGAUGGUCCCUCUACUAUCACCAUCUAUCAACUUUGUCUCUUCACUUUUAAUUUAAAAAUUUUAAAUGUUUUAUAUUGAUUAAACUUUAAUUUAUAACCAUCUAAAGUUAGUAAUCACAUUUUAACUAUAAAGGGUGAAAUUAAUAGUUAUUUUUUUAAAAAAAAAAAAUAUUUUGCUUCGUUUGGAAUCGCGAGAAGAUUCUGUUAUGUAUGGUAAAACCGCGAAAAAAAAUAUUUGUUUACUUUGAUAACUAAUAGUAUGUGAUGCGGGUUACAAUGAGCCACUUGAAAUAUAUAUUUUUGUUUCAAUACUUAUAAUCUAAUAUAAAAUGAGCCAUGAAGAGUGUUUAAGUGAAAAGAGCAUGCAUUUUACCCAAGGAAAAGUACCAUCAAGGGUGGUGUGCAAAAAAGUUGAUGGACAACAUGAUUGGAUAUUUCUAAUUUACACCACCACCAUCAUCAUCAUCAUCACCAUCAUCAUCAUCCUCCUAAGAUAGUUCUCAUUGUAUAUUGUAUGGAAUAAGUAACACCAACACCCCUUGGAACAUGUCUCCACAUGUCAAUUAUUGCCAUAAUUAUGGUGUGGAAUGUGUGGUUUGUAGAUUAACUUUGAGAUUACAAUCACUUCAUCUUUCCAUGUUCCCCUCUCAUUAUCUCUAGCACUACAUUUGUCUCUAUCCAUCAUCAUCUUAUGCAAUAUGCUCCUCCUCCCUGUAACAAGCUAAUUUAAUUAUUGAUAAAGCUAGUGUGUUGUAUUAAUCAUAAUUGGAGGGGUUUAACUAUAUAUCCCCCUAGAUGUGAGAAUUUUCCAUCCAUUAUUUACCUGAAAAUUUUACACAAUCUAAUCCUGUUGCAGAAUUCAGAAGAUAAAUAUAGUUUACGUUAAUAUCUCCAGUUAAUUGGUAAAUGAAUUUUUCGGGUUGAUAUGAUAGCUCAGUCAAUUUUAAACUCUUAUCUUUACAUGAGGUUAUGGAUUUGAUUACUAUACUCUUUUUUUCUUUUUUUUUUUUAAUCUUACCCGUUAAUUCUCUGUGAACUAAGGUGUUACGUGUACUUCUCGAUCGAUCAUUUUUUAUUUGAUCGAUCUUUCUGUGUAACAGAGUUAGAUUAUUGAAAUAUUUGGAGAAAAGGUCAAAAGAUUUGGAUCAUGACUCAGCUAAAUCAUGACAUUCCCGUGCUUUUGGGUCAGGUUAGGUUAGAUUGGAUUAGAUUAAUAUCACAUCUAAUCAAAACUGAUGUAUACAUUAAGCCAAAUUGAAUAUACCUUCACAGAUAGGGAUGCCAAUGGAUACGGAUAUUCGAAAUAUUAUCCAAAUUAAUCCGAAUCCGAGCGGAGCGGAUUUACCGAUGCUAAAUGGAUAUAGUUUCGGAUAUGAAUAUCAAAGAUAAAUACCCUGCGGAUAUCGAUUCGGAUAUGAAUUUUGAUUGUACAUGAUUCGAAUCCGAACCCGAAUUUAUUUUAUAUUAUAUAUAAUAUGUAUAUAAAUAUUUGAUGUUAUAUCUGCAUUUGUAUUUUAAAAAUUUAGAUUUAAUGUAAUAUAUUUUGAAAUAUUUACAAGAGAAAUAAUUGUUUCGGGUUCAGAUUUUUGGUCGGAUUCAGGUUUGGAUAUGAAUGUUUAAAGUCCGUCGGAUUCGGGAUCGGUUCGGAUUUCGGGUUUGAAGCCGGAUUCUGAUCCGGAUUUUUAAAAAUCCACACCGAAUCAGACCCGUUGACAUUCCUAUUCGCAGGUCAAAUUAAUGAUUUGAAAACUUUGAAUGAUCCAAAAAUUGGAAAGAAAUUAUGUAGGAUUGUGGGCAAAGCAAAACACAAAAACUGGUGCAAAAUUAAACCUAAAAUUUCUGUUAUUGAAACUCUGAUCAAAUUCUUUAAUGUGAUGCAUGGUAGGAAUCAACGGUGGAGAGUUUGCCAGGUGGUCAAAAUUCAAAAAGCACAUGAUUUGGACUUAUACAAGGAAAAAGAAAAAAGAAAAAAAAAAUGAACCAAAAUAAUGAACACACAAAAUGUGGUAAAGAUGCUGGGGAAAAAGAAAAAAAAGAAAAAAAGAAAGAAAAAAAAGGAGAUUUCACAUGAAACCCACAAAACAAUCAUAGUUAAGAGUGCUCUUUUCCCAUCAAUCACCAUGAAAAAUCUUAGGCCACCUCAGUGAAAUAGCAUAGAAAAUCACAAGAAAACAAUAGAAAAAUCUUAGUCUUUUUUUAAUUAUUUUUUUAAAUUUUUUAUUUUGACCAUAACACCUGUUGUAGUUGGGCACCAACCACAAUUCUCAUGCUUUGAUAUCACUUAGUAGAAAUAUUCAAUGCACGCAAAUGAAUAAUCAGUAUUCAUUGACUUACCAAUGUGAAUAAUUAAUCGUCCUUUUCGAAGGCUUAAGCAAUUAGAGAAUGAAGCUUACGCUACUGAUUUAAGAUAAAUUGGAAAAAAUUAAAUAAGAUUAGGAAUUAACCAUGAUACUAUGUAGAGCAAUUAUUAUUAUUUUUCUUCUUAAAAGCUUAUAUUUUUUUUUAUACUCAACCAUGAUAGAGAUUGUUUGAUGCUAAUUAAUGCUUCGUGUUUGAAUACUGGGAAUUGACUCUGAUAUAUGGAAUUCUAUAUAAAGAAACAAUCUUAGACCUGUGUAUGUGGAAAUCGGAUUGUGGUGAGAACUGUCACCGGAGAAGUAUGUGGUUACGUGCUUCUCUAAUGACCCAAGCCAAACCAUGACCGUGUUGGGUUCAACCGCACCCUCGGCUUAGCCCGACAAAAGUAAUCGGAUUUCAAAUUUGAACCCGACUUUGAAAAUGAUGGGGGCCCAACUAUAGUUUUUCGGGCCGCGCCGUUUUGGGCUCCUUGGGCUUGUUUAUUGGAGAAUAAUUGCAAUUUGGUAUCUUAAUUGGUUCAUUGAAAUGUUAUCAUAAGCAUAAUUUUUCAAGAUGAUACCUUCCAUAAUAAUAAAAUAAUUAUGAAAAAAAUGUCUUAGAGGAUGCAUAUAUUAUAUAUGUGGUUGCAAACAUUAAAAUAUUUUUUUAAAAAAUGUUCUACAAAACCAAAAACAUAAAAAAGUUACCAAAACAUUGUAUUAAUUAUUAAGAGAAGUAUAGACUCUUUACUCUUAUGAGCAUAGACCCUUUCAUACUCGUAACUCGUAAGUUAGUUUUGAUAAUGGAGCUUUUGAACUGACCGUCCCUAGAGCAAGUGGCAAACGAUUUGGUGUUUGGUAUCUGAGGUCCCAAGUUCGAAUCUUAGUUGAUUCACAUUUCUAGCUAAGUUUAUUUUUAAAUGAAAUUAACGAAGCGGAUAGCGUGCUACCUCUCUCUCUCUCAAAAAAAAGAAGAUAAUGGAGCUUCCGAAUUGGUAAUCCAAACCAAUUAAAUAUCAUCUUAGAGCAUUUGAAAUUUUUAAAAAAUAAAUUUCGUAAUUUUUCAAAAUUAUAUUAAAGUCCAUUAAGUUGGGUGUAAAAUAAACGGUCAAAAUUAAAUGAUCUCAUCAUAAUAGAUUAUCAGAUUCUUCAAAUUAAAAUUAGAGUUAUUGAUCUUUAUUUAGAUAGUGAAUAGAAUUUUUUAUCAAAAAUUCAACUAAUUCCGAUUCUUUUACGCCGUUAAAAUUAGCAAGUAUGUCAUACCGGCUGUUAAAAAUUGUCAAUUCUAAGAUCUUUUCAUCGAAAGAUGUCAAAAAAUCAAGAAAUUUGAUUUAUAGAAGUUUUAAAUACUCUAAAUUAUAUUUAACGGUAUGCAUCGUCAAUUCGAAAGCUUUAUCAUCGAAAACGACUUAUAAGUAUGAAGACGAUCGUAUUCAUAAGAGUAUAGUAGCUGGACUCUUAUUAAGAGAUCCUCAAUUAUUGGCAAUUUAUGAGUGAUGAGUAUUAAGUGAACAGAAAAGCCUUCAUUCAAUUAUUGGGCCCAACACUAUCAUAAUGGGCCGGCCAAUGAGGCCCAUUGGGCCCAUGUGUGUUCGUGAAGGCGCUUUUGGUUCUUCAGUUACAUGUUUAAGUCAUUUUUUUAGAAUAAAAUAAAUUAUCUUGCAGGUGAAAUAUAUUAAUUUUCUUAACAAAAUAAUAUUUUUCAAGAUCUUUAAGUCAAAACAUUAACAAACAACAAAUUAAUGCGAGAAUGAGAUUAGUCAGAUUAUUUAUUUAUUUAUUUAUUUAUUUUGUUUCUUUGCGGCGUACAACUGUACAAGAGCUGUCAAUUUAACCCCACAGAACCCUAAAGAAAAAUGAAAUUAAUAUUUGCCCCCAAAAAACAAAUAUAUACCCACUGUAUCUCCCUUGCACAGAAACUGACUCGGAUUGAAAAUAAUGUUAAUACUAAAUAAAUUUUAACAAAAAAAAAAAGGUCUUAAUUAUAUACAACUCCAGCAAACACUUUUCUACACCAAACCAAACCUCCCACAGCUGACAAAAGAUGCCAUGCUGAUGGAUGCACUCCAAUAUAAUAAUUGUGAAAUAAUAUGAAACAGACGUUUGUUUAUGUGAAUCGCAAAUACUAAGCAACCAUUCUAAAAGCACGUACUGAUUGAAAGGACGUAUCUAUUGUAUUUAAGGGUUCAGCCAUAAAACUUUAUGGGUUUCGACCUGAAUCGAUCCAACUAGACAUUAGGUGUACUGUUGGAUCUCUUGCCAUUAGGCUAUUGUGGACCACGGUCCCAUUGGUCAUACCGAACUUGAGAGAGAGAUAGGUUAACCUAUUAAUUUUCUUGGCUUAUUGUUACAGGACAGAAGUAUAGACAUAUUUUAUCUAGUAAUAAAUAAUUAAUAUUUUAUAAAAGUUUAAGCUAUAAGAGAAUGAUAUUUAUUAUUAUUUUUCUGAAGAAAAGAUAGUAAACUAUCUGCGUUGGGUAUAAGAAAAAUAAAUUAAAGUAACUGUGCCUCAAAAAAUAAUAAUAAAAAAAGCCUAAGUUUCAUAUAGGGUAAACUUCAAAUACCACCCAGUCCACCCUUGUAGUUUCGCACUUUCUUAUUUUAGUACCUUGUGAUUUAAAGUAUAUCACGUUCACCUGUGGUUUCAUUUUAUCUUUACAUCAGCUUCUUUGCUAAUAUUUUGUUAAAUUAUAUAUAAAAAACUUUAGAUACCCCAAUUAGAUUUAUCACAUAUAUAUGUGAUAAACCUAAUUGGAGUAUCUAAAGUGAAUAUAUUCACUUUAGUACCUUUUAGUUUUAACUUUGUCAUUGAUUUAGCGAAAAAAAUUAGUAAAAUCGAUAAUAAAAAGAUAAAAAUGAAACUACAAAGCACUAAAUUGAUACACUUUAAAUCAUAGGGUAGUAAAAUAAAAAAAAAUGUGAAACCACGUAAUGGUAUUUAUAGUUUUCCCUUUCAUAUAAAUAACCUUCCCACUUUUCCAAGAAACUGCAAAAAUCUGCGUGCACUUUGGGUGCUCUUACUCUUAUAAUUCCGAAAAAUCAAGUUCUUUCUUUUAUGUUUGUGCGCAAAAUUUUUUAGUAAGUAUAAGAUAUAGACUAAAAUUAUAGGAGUCUAACGGAAUUCGAACUCCAUACUUUCUAAUCUAAUACUAUAAUAAAAGAUUUAGGAAUUAUCUUAACACCUUCGUUCAUGUGUUAAAUAAAGUAAUGUGCUAUUAAACACAAAUUUUUGGGGAAUUAAACUUUAACAUCUUUAGGAUCUGAGGGAGCUUAGAACUACUAGCUAUAUAUGAGUCUUAAUUUUGAUAAAAGGAAUAAAGGCAAAAUCAUAAGAGUAGUGAACACUAGCACCAAACUGAAUAUAUCCGGGUGCAAUGGUCUAUAGAAAAUAUUUAUAAGAGUUUACACGUGAAUAAAAUAAAUUUAUAUCGAAUAAUUAAUAAAAUAUAAAGAUUUAGAUUAGAUAGGUUCUAUUAGGUAUAUAUGUCACAUUAUUAUGCAUGCCUAACAAAAAAAAGUGCAUAUUUUCUAGCAAUUGUAAUAGAAGAAACUAAAACAAAAUUUUCUAACAAAUCAACUCAAUAUCUCCAAAAUAUAUUCCAUUAAUCUUACCCAAAAAUCACAAAAAAAUACAUCUGAAGUUCAACAAAGUGUGAUCCUCAUUAAGGGUGUUAGCACAUAAAAUCAAAGCAUGGCAAUUUCACCUUUAGAUGUGGCGGCAUUCGGUGGCGGCGGCGGUAGCGACGAUGACGACGAUAGCGAUUCUGAAUGGGUGGUAUCGUCGCUCUCGACGUCGAGCAAGCUGCUUAUCGACCGAGCCUUCACCGUCGUCGCGAUCUUCGUCGUCGUCGACGGCCCGUCCCCUACUCCUUUCUUCGUCGAGCAGCCGAGUCGACCGCGCACGCUACUCACGCUCCGCAGCCGCGCCCCCUUCCCCAAGUGAUGCUCGCACAGCGAGUAGCCGACGAGCGUCGGCUGGCAGCACCGCCACCCCCGCCCGUUCACGCGGCUGCACCGUGACCCCUCCAUCAGCACCGCCGGGCUGCGCCUUCGCCGCUUUUCCCUCUUCCCAUGUUCAUCACUUCCAUUAGAGCUACUACUAGCUUUGGCUCUCAUGUACUUGGCCUUGUUCUUUUCCCCCACUAUUAUUGUUUUCUCUUCUGGUUCCCCAUCACAACCAUUGAAUUUGCUUCAUGAUCAAGCACAUGUAGCCAAAAGAAAAGAAAAGAAGAACAACACAAUUUAUUACAAUCCACAUUUUUUUUCACAUGAUCUCUUGUAUGUAGCUAAUUAAGACUAUGAUUGUGAUCAGCUAGAAUAUACAUUGUAUGUAUUCCAGAUUACAACCAUCAAAGUUGAUUCAUAAAACAAAAAGGAAAGAGAAGAGAACAGAAAAUAAGAAUACAAAACAUCACAACCCAAUCACACAUUAGAUCUCUUAGGUAGCUCACAUUAUGGCUAGUUACAACAAUUUGUGAAGUGCACCAAACAAGGCCUAUAACAAUAUUUACUAUUCACCAUUACAACAAAUAUCAUAGGUGCUUCAUCAAACAAGGAAAAUAGAAAAGAAAAGAAGAACACAUAAUGCAUCACAACCCACAUUUUAGAGCUCCUAUAAAUAGCUAACAUGAUGCUACUUAGCACAUGCACUUUGUGAAGUGCACCAACACAAGCUAUAUGUGUGGCAGUGUAACUGUUCCCCAUUACAACCAUCAUAUAUAUAGGUGCUUUAUCAUCAAUCAAAAAGAAAAGAAAAUUAAGAGAAGAGAAGAAAUUAUAAAUGAAAAGAAGAACACAUAAUGCAUCACAACCUAUACAUUGUAGAUCUCUUAUAUAUAGCUAGCUAGGAUUGUGACUCCUUAGCACCCAUUGUGAAGUGCACCAUCACAAGCUACAUAUAGAGCAAUGAACUCAUUAACAGCUACUAAAAGAAAAAGGUGCAUAAAUAUAUAGAGGUGUGUGUGAAAGGUGUGGAUAAAUGGGUGCAUGGAUGGGAUGAGAUGUGGAUGUGGAUGUGCAUGUCAUGAUGAUGGCAUGCAUGUAUUAACAUAACUUUGGAUGCCUUUUCUUUUAAUUUUCACCAUGAGGAACCAAAUAUUUAUAUUUACAAGCCAAGGCAUUUUUAGAAAGGGAAAAAGAACUAAUUUUUUUUUUUUUUAACCUACCUCUCAUUACUAUUUACUUGUUCCUCCUCCUCAAGCACCUACAAUAAAAAUCCCAAGACACCCACAUUAUUAAUUAUGUAGCUGGAAAAAGGGUCCCAAGAGGAAAAGAUACCCUUGUAUAAAAAGGAAAAGAAAAAAGAGGAGUAAAUAAAUAAAUACCUGCACAUGGGUGGUAAUGGUGGGUGAAAUGCAAGAACUUGAGAGGUGGGGAGGAGAAGGAUCAGAUCCACUACUGGGUAAACCUUUUCCCACACCAAGAUGCAGUAGAUCUCCAUCUUGGUGCAAUAGUAAUAGCCCAUCUCUUUGCUCAUGCACUUGUGUUUUCCCACUCUCUUCUUGGGGUGGAGGAGAUGGAUCUAACACCAUGGUUGUGGAUAUGAGAGGAGGAGGAGGAUGAGGAGGAGGUCUCCUUCUGAUCCUCAUAGAUGAUGAUGAUGAUGAUGAUGAUGAGAGAGAGAGAGAGAGAGAGAGAGAGAGAGAGAGAGAGAGAGAGAGAUUUGGAGGAGGUGCACAGGGACUCAAUAAGAGGGUGUAUUUUGUUUUUGUUUUUGGGUUUUUGUUUUUUUUUGGGGGGGGUGGUGAGUUGGGUUUUUAUUUGUUUAUGUAUUAGUUUAUCUUUUUUGUUGCAGUUGCAUUUUAGGUGAUGGAUUGUGAAUUGUAUCUGGUACUGUUUACUAUACAAGAUUAAUGAUAAAGGGUGGAUGGAUUUGAACAAUAAAUAAAUGAUGCAUGGUAUAAUGAUAAUGAUAAUAAUAAUAAGGGAUUAGAAUAAUUAAUAAUAAAUUAAUGUGGCUUAAUUAAUCUCCAGCCUCAGCACUGGCACGUGCCUCGCACAGGAGGUGGGGGCGCGGCACGUGCGAUCGACUAGAAAAUAUAGGUAUUAUUAUUGUAUGUCGCAUACUUUUAAUUUAACGAUUCAAUUUUUUUAGUAGUAAAAAAUCUAAAAAUAACAUAACAGUGUUGUGAUUGAUGAUAUGCCACUAAUUAAGAUGCUACAUCAUCUUUAUAUCAGCGAUGUGUUAAUAUUUCGUCAACUAAAUUGAAAUGUAGAAUUUAAUUGCAACAGUUAUGAAAGCUCGAACAAAAAAAUAUAAUAAAGUUUAAGAAUUAAGUACCACCCGCCUCAUAAUUUGAGUACCGAACAUGCAAUAUAUCCUAAAAUUAAUAAAUAUAUAGUAUAUAAAUGUAUAGAUACAUAAAAAAAAAAAAAAGGAAAAAUCCACUCGGCCCACAACACUACACAUUGGCAUGCUCCAGGUUGAGACAGUGAUGUGGCAUUCACUUUGAUUACACCAUGCAACUAAAGCAGUAGUGUGAAACUGCGAUGCUCAAACACACCUUUGAUACUUCAGUAAACACAAUAAUCAUUAACGACUAGAGAAACAUGCUCAAACACACCUGCUUUGAUACUUCAGUAAACACAAUAACCAUUAACGACUAGAGAAACAUUUUGCGAGUAUUUCGUGUGGCUGUUUCCAUCGCCAUUUUAUAGUAGCUGUGCUUGAAAUAUUAACAACGCAUAAGAACAACACUUAACAGAGAAACAUUCCUCCAUGUAAGUAACUACUUAAUCUCCUUUUUCGUAACAAUAAUAGCCAAAAGUAAUUAGGGAAUUUUAAUCUCCUUUUUUUUUUUUGCUCCAAAUUCAGUAUACAUUCACAACCCACAAAAUUUCCACUCACAACCAAAUUUUUUUCUAACAUGAAAGCUGAGCAGUACAACACUUUGGAACAUACAUCACAAUGAUAUACUAAGGAUUUUCUAUUUUCAAUAGUAUUUGCAUCAUUAAUUGCUUCAUAACCACUACAAAUUAGAACACAAAAGAGGGGGGAAAAAUGUUGUAAGUGUGGAAUAUAUCAUACAUAUAGAAGUGAUUACAUAAUUUUCUCCAGCAAAUUUACAAAAAGCACCCUAACAAGGGGAAAAAUCCACUUAAAUAUUGCACCUGCCCUAAAACCAUCCGCUAAAUUUACUAUCCAGAGCCCCAAAAGGGUUCUGGUAUUUCUAUAAUAUAUGAUCAAUAUAUAACUCAUUAAAUGCAUGACAUAUGUGCUUUAAUGGUACCGAUGAAUGACGUUCACUAAAAUUUAGGGGUUCGAACUCUCAGUGCGCUUUAGCCGCCUUUGCCUGUACCUCCAAGCUACUUGAAUGCGAGUUGCCGCCAUGUUUCUCCAAUAAGGUGACAUGUACCUGUAUGAGAAAUGCUAAUGCGUUAAUUCUUUGGUUUCAAGCAUCGAUUUGUAUGUUAUAUAUAAGUUGUCGUUGCUUAGGGCACAGCAUAUCAACUCUAUUCGAUUGGUCUCCAUCACUCUUUUUUACAAUCCCUACUAUGUUAGUUGCAGGAAGACUUUGUAGAUUGUAAAGAUACGAUAAUUGAAAUUACAUUUACCUAAUCGCCCCCUGUACACGCGGGUUGCGCAGGAAUCUUGAGAACAAUGAAGUCACUUCUUCCAGAUCAGCAGCUCGAAGCGCGAAGGCUUCGACAUUAGUUAGGCAUCUAACAGUUCUGGUAGCAAGCAAACGAAGCCCAGCAAAUCGAAUCCUACCUCCCUCUGAAAAAGGUGAAUUUGCCACAAUUUUGUUAGUUAGAACUGUUAGAUAUGUCUCGAAUUCUAGUACCGCAAGAUCUUCUAACCCUAUUCUGUUUUGAUUAUCCCAUUAAGUUAAGUUUAAAUUAUGUCUAAUUUUAUUGAGAUAUUUCUAAUUUUAGUAGGUUUGUAUUCCUAGUUGUAUUAGGAUUUAGCUACUAUUAUAAAUAUACCCAUUAUUUCAUUGAUUUGGUGCGAAAGAUGAGAGAGAAAGUAUGGGUGUAUUUUUAGAAUUAGGGUUUUGUGAGAGAGACAUAUUUUGUACAUCACUUUGAUUAUAAUAAAGAUCUCCGCUCCGUCUUCGCCCGUGAAUGUAGGCCAGUGGCGGAAUCACGUAAAUAUUGCGUGCUUUAUUUUUCAUCUCUCUUUCUCAGAUCUCUUUUGAUAUUUUCGCACCCGAUGAACUAGAUUUUUUCGGUUUUAGUUCUAACAAGAACAAAAAGAAAUAGGCAUUUUCAGGCUAUUUCGAUUAAAAGCUCCAUCCACUUUUGAACAUUUACUACUGGAAAACUACUUAGUCUACAAAAGAAUAUUUUAGUCUAGAGAUGCCAAAGCUGUAAAAGAGUAAAAGAAGGGGGAUAAUUUUUGCAAAAAAUAUAACUAUUUCACAAAUGACUAGUUACAGGAAAAAGCUUCCUUAUUUUUUUGCUAAUUUCUUCUUACUAGAAAUAGAGCAAGCACUUAGUUUCAAUAAAAGUGAAGCAAUCAUUCAUGCUAUCCUUUAGAAGAAAACAAAAGCAUUUCAAAAUAAAGAUUAGAAAAAUGAAAGGUGAACAUGACCUCGAUUCACUGAAGAGUGUUCGAGACACCACGUUAGGAGCUCCUCGCCGCACACAUCGCCUUCCUGUAGUGGAGUAAUAAAUCCAUCGGCUCCAAUGCUUUCCAACUUACCCCUCACUAUGAAAACCAUCUUCUCGACAGGCCCUCCCUGAUAUAGAAUGUCGCUCCCUCUUAUGUAUAGUGUUUGUCUCAACUUUUCACAUAUAGCAUCCAAUAUUGGCUCAUCCAUUAGUUUGAAAAUCCUAACCUGAAAAGGAGAUGCAAAAUACUCAAUAUAUGAUCAAAAAAGAAGCCCUAGGCCCAAUAUAAUUGGGAUAACUAAAUGGGUUCUUAUCUGCCUUAAUGUUUAUGAUUCCCAAAGAUCAUAGUCUUAGAAAUUGUAACAGGUUAUCUGGUUUUCCUUGACGAAGAUACUGCAAUAAUUAAAUACUAAAUAAAAGCUUAAAGAUUUAGAAAUGUCCUGUAGAAACUGUUGGAAUCACCCAGAUGUAGUCUUAGAAAUGAAGGUUUCCAAGAUCAUAAAAUGGUAUACACAGAGGUUUCCCUUCUUUUUCCUUUCUUUAUGGGGUGUGGCAAGUGAACUUGUGCUAGAGAUGAAACUGCAAAAGUAAAAGGCUUAUGGGAGCCGGGUUCACUAUAGACCACAAACUAUACAGUUCACAUGCCACUGCUUUCUAUUGGGAAAAUAAAGUGGUCCAUCUUACUGUAAACAUCAAAGAAUUAAAAGGUUCCAACCUUUUGUAUUAAGAAACUCACCUUGUUGAGAAACUUAAAGAAAUGACGGCGUAUUUCUCUUUGUAUGUCCUCCGGUAAGUUCUCAAGUAGCUCUUCUUCAUUCACACCCCGAGUAGCAGCCCAAGUGAAUCUUUCUGCUUGUCUCACUCGUCUAAAAAAAAUCCCAUAGUUUGAAGGUUAUUCACCCAUUAAAAUCGAAAAGUAUCGGAAUAGAAUAAAUAGACACACAAAAACGAAUAGAAAGAUACGACCUGAUUUUAGCACCUUACGCUGCAUUAUUUUUUAUUUCAGUACCUCACAAUCUGGUUCUGUCAGACCUUAACACUUUUCUUCUCUCAAAAAAAUAAAAUAAAAAAAAAAAUCAGAGAAUAUCAUGUCAGGUAGCAAACUCUUCUGUUUAAGGCUAUAGAAUUUCUGGCCGAAAAAGUAGGAAACUUGGAAUACCAUCAUAGUUCCAACGGGGAGGUACCAAAAUAAAAAAUAAUGAAAAUUAGGUAUUAAAGAUAGAUUAGAAGAGACAAUACGACCUUCAUACACAGUGGGGGCAAUUAAUUUUAUUUUCUAUAUAUAAUAGUAAUGGGUGGGAAACGGCAGAAACACAAUUAUCUAACAACAAGUUAAAAACUGGAAGAAGUUUUUUCUAUCAAACCUUCUCAAGUCUUCAGGCAAGCGUCGAUGACUCAUCCACUGUUCAACAUCACGUCGUCUAAGUUGCAUUUCUAGUCUCCUGGAAAAAAUAAAAGGGACAAGCGAAAUGAAGCGUUAUCUGAGGUUCAAUGAGAUUUAAUGCAUUUUUGCAAAAUAUACCAACAAGGAGAACUGAGCACAUCUGCUAUUAAGAUUUUGUCUAUCAUGAAUCACACGAUGUUAGAUAACUUGGUGAAUAAUUUCUCCUAAUGUUUCGAAGAACGAACAUUACGAAAUAUAACUUGUUUGCCGAAGGUCAAAACUUAAAGUAAAUGUCUUGAACUGUAACUACAUUUCUAAAAAGCUCCUCCAUAGUUCGUCUCACUAAAUUUUUCUCAAAACUACUGCAGCCUACAUAUUAUGUCCUAAAAUUGCAUUUUUUUCCAACAACAUAACACUGAGAAUGACACCUCCUAAUAGUUGAUAUAUAUCUGCAAAUCAAUUACGAAUAUGAAUCCAACAUAGAAAUUAUUGUUCAAAUAAAUGUACCAGCAACCUUCAUGCCUACAAUUAUUUCAAUUGAAUAGUGUCAAAUUACCAUUUAGAUUUCGUACCUUCUUUCGAGAGCUUGGAGAAAAUUCUGCAUGUUUCCAAUGAGCAAGGCAAAAAGCAGCAGCCCCAAUCCAACAAUAGCCAUGGUGAACAGAACUUCCCAUUCAAAAUAACUCGGAACCAGAUUUCCAGCUAAGGUGCUGAUUUGCUGCAGCAGAAAUUUAAAGUUUGUGAGAAUCACCAAAAGGGGGGAAAAAGUUACGUAGUUAAACAUUGCAGAACCCUCACAAUAUCUAAAAGAAUAAAAUAAUCGAAAAAAAAACAAUUCUUUCAUAUUACAUUAAGCACCCUCUUGUCAAUUUAAAUAUUCCACACCUAAGGGUAGUCCUCUUAGCAUUAGAACUUGUAAACAGCUCUAAAUUUUUCCACAAAUUCGCACAUAAAAGCGUAGAAGCUUGGGCGAAUAGCUUCCCAUUAGGAAUUAGUAUAUACUUUGUAAAGCUAGUUUAUGCAGAAUAAAUAAUGGCGAAAUCUGACUCUUUGAUCUCAUAUUAGUAGGUGAAGAAGCAUACAUAUGUACGUACAUCGACAUACAUAUAUACAAACAUGCGUGCACAUACACACACACACACACGAGCAAAAUGAAUGAAACAUUUAUGUUGCUUAUAGCUGCAUAAUCGAGAGUUUAUCUCAAAGAAGCCACCACAGAAAAGUUUUGGAAAGAUCAUUAGGAAGAAUUAGGGAAGAAACAUCUUGAAGAUAAUGUACAAAUGCCAUCCCAUGAUAUUGUCUUUUGGGGAAGUAGGAAUAAACAUAUACCUGAAACCCCCAAAAUAACGAAUAUACAUAUCGCUUAACAACGCUGUGCUCUGUGGUCAGCAAAACAGCCUGCUGAUAAAUACCAUAAUUGAAUGGUCCAUCACUACUCACAAAGCAAUUAUUAGAAUUGCCCUCAUUUUUCCACGCCUGCCGACUAGGAUCAAACUGCUGAAUAUUAUUUCCACGUCCGCAAUCUAUGAGUGUUUGACAGUAUGGAGUUUUAGACAAAGAGCAAGCAUCCCGUAGACACUGAUUUACCCUCUGAAAAGGAAAAACAGAUACAAAUAAUUAACUGUGUACUAAUGAUAUAAAUGAAAUAUCCGUGAAAAAGUAUUAUCAAAAUGACAAGGAGUGAAGAACCAGAGGUUUUAUUAUUGAAAAAAAAAAGUAAGCAGAAGAUAAGCUUGAUAGAUAAAACAAAUAACAUGUGCAUCAAAUCAUGCAAGAGAAACUAGUAAGAUGGAGGAUAUGGUCGGAUUGGAUAUCAAUACUUUAGUAUAUUGAAGUAGAAACUACUAUUGGAAUCAGGGUUUAUGGAUAAUAACAUGACGUUCUGCAAAAUGAGGUGGUUCGUGGGACUACUUGGGGCACGGGACGUCGGGAACUAAGCAGAAAGAUAAGAAAAUGAUAACCCUACAGACUAUCUAAGCUCUAAUGUUUCUGAUAGGCAAAUUUGACAUCAAGACUAGUCUAAAAUUGCAAGAAAUGUGCUGCAGUUUUCAUUGAUUAACAACAUCAACUACUGUUGAUUAACAAAAAUUAUAUCAAUUUUAAUACCAUAUUAAAUGAUUGAAAAUACUUGUUAACGAAGAUGGGAAUAUUAUUCGAGCCUUGGUUAGUUAAAAUAAAUUUUAUAAAAUUCUCACGGUUUGAGAUAUGAAACUACCUGACCCUUAAAUUUAACCACAAAAAACUAUAUUGAGAACCAUUUUAACUAGCCAUAGACUAUAUUGUUUUUACGCCACAAAUAAAUCGGGUCCUCACAGCAAGAUUUUUAACCUGCAAUCCGAAGAGAUACCAACAUGAGCCCACAACAUGUCCAGCCAAAACAAACAUCAAUAGAUUGAUAACAAAAUUAGCCCAUGCUGACUCAAAUAUGAAGCCGCUUGCCGAUUGCCCACCAAGCAAUGGUACAAAUCUGAUGAUUCUCGGAACAUAUUGAAGAAGAACAGUGGCACGUAACAGAUUUUUUGCAUAGUUCGCUGCUGAAGACCCCACAUAUUUUGGUAUUACUACUAAUAUCAUCACCUUCAUCGAAAGCAAAGAAAGAGAACCAAAGAAUGAGUUUGCAAUACGAGAUCGAAAAAUUUCUAAUCACUAGAAGCAAAUUGAUCAAUAAAUGGCAAGAACAUCAAUCUAGUGCUUAUUAAGAUCAUCAUACAAGUAAUUGAACAAAUUAUUAAGAGCCUGUAAGCCAAUAAACAGUAGCAGUUAGAAAAGAGAACACUUUUAUCUGCAGGCCGACAACUGAUAAACAAGAAAUACAUUCAAUAUCAAUGUGCACAACUAAACACCAAAGUAGGUUCAUCUGAAUUGCUCACACCACAAAAGUAAAACCAGAUUAUUUGAAGAUUAAAAAAUGAUUGCUAUAUGUGCAAUUGAUAACAUAGGAAGGUAAUAAAAUAUCAUGACAGCAUUCCACAUUGAUGACAGAUUUGUUAGGGAAAAAAAAAGAUCUUAGGAAAAGAUGAAAUGCGAAACAAUAAUGGAAGAGAAAAUAAGCUCUCGGAAGCUCAUAUUCUUUUAGGAGCUUCUUUUAAAAAUCAAAAAUCAGAACUUAGUGGCAGUAAAUGUUACUUAAUCCCAAAGACCAUAUCAUUCUAGCAACUCAUAUUUAGAUCAUUAAAUCAAAUUAAUAGUUUACAAAGAUCACCAUAAAGAAGUGUACCUGAGGAAGUGGUAAUACUACAAAGAAAUCAACUAUAAAAUAACCCUGAAGAUAAUGAAGAGCAAUUUUCUUUGGUUCAUCAACUAAAUCCCCAGCACCAACAACUCUUGAUUCUGGAGCAACAUAUGCCAAUCUAAACUGAAAAUAGACAGAAAAAUGUACAUCAGAGAAAAGUAGCUGAAUCUUACACUACUAGCAAGCGAUAAUAAUGCUUAUUUCAGACGAUGAGAUAAAAUAAUCAUACAAAAGUUAAACCGCAGAAAGGUCAAGAAACUUUUCUGGGACUACUAUUUGGACAUUAAAUUUGUACAAAACUUAUCAAAAGGGAUUAGUUUUCAGUGAAGUGCUAAUGUGUUGAUACAGUAAAAUACAGAUAGCAAUAGGAAGUCAUGCUCUACCAGUUGGCAAACUCAUGGAAACAAAAUAGUGCAUUUUUUUUAUCUUUUUUUUUUUUUUUGGCUUUCUACCAUUAUAAGAAACGGCAUAGGCACAUGCAUCCAGAUGCUCUCUUCUCAACAAAGAAUUUGUACCAUAGAUACUCCAAUUGUUCCUCUUUACCUAGUUUUGCCUUUCUAUCAAUAUUGCUAGUUUCUACGAUUAAAAAAAGAGAAUAGGCAAGUUCAUUGUCUUAGUAUAGUAAGGAUGCAUAUCUAUAUAUUCUAUAUGUUCCAUCCCUACCAAGAAAUUUCGUUACUAUCAUGUCUUAUGACACUAAGGCUUCGUUUGGUUCGGGUAUAAGUAAGAACUAGUUGUUCCAGGGAUAGGUAGAAGAUGAGGUAUAAGAUGGGUAUAGAGUAAUCUUGUGUUUGGUUGAGUAUUGGAUUUAGUCCAGGUAUAAGUAAAAUAGUGUUUGGUUGGAAUAAGUGUAAUAAGAAGGAUAGUGGAUGGUUAUAAAUAGAAAAUAAUGAUAUUGCCCUCUUUAUUAUAUUUGAAUUAAAGUUUUUAAAUUUUAUAUUUAAAAUUUUAAAUUUAAAUAUAUAACUCUUAAAUUUCAAAAAUACAAAAUUAAAAUUUGAAUUUAAAAAUCUCAAAUUCAAAAAUUCAAAGUUCUAAAUUUUUAAUUUCAAAUUUUAAAUUUAAGAUCAAAUCUAAAUUUAGAAAUAUAAAAUUUUAAAUUUUAAAUUUAAAAAAUUAAAUAUAUCAAUUUAAAAUUUACAAUUUAAUUUUUAAAAUUUAGAAUUAAAUAUUCUAAAAUUUAAUUUUAAGAUUACAAAUUAUAAAUUUUUAAAAUUUAUAAUUUAAAUUUUAAAUUUUAAAUUUAAAUUUAAAAAUUAAAUAGGGAUGGAAAUAGCUAUUCCCACCCCUAUUCCAGGGGGAGGGGUGGGAUUGUUAACCCCACCCCUUAAGUCCUUAACAGGUUAUCCCGGGAUAACCUGUUAAGGCGUGGGGUUAGCAAUCCCACCCUUUUUUUUUUUUUGCUUCUAAGAAAGAGGAUAACCUUUAUCCCACCCCUUAUACCCCAACCAAACGGCGGCCUACAUACUACCGAUAUUUAAUGAACAACCAACAUGAACAUUACUAAAGCCUCAACAAUAGUGUAAUGGAAANGGGGUGGGAUUGUUAACCCCACCCCUUAAGUCCUUAACAGGUUAUCCCGGGAUAACCUGUUAAGGCGUGGGGUUAGCAAUCCCACCCUUUUUUUUGCUUCGGUAUAAGGGGUGGGAUAAGGGGUUAUCCCACCCUUUAUACCCCAACCAAACGGGAUGUAAAGAUACUGCGCCUAGUAAUGAACAACCAACAUGAACAUUACUAAAGCCUCAACAAUAGUGUAAUGGAAAGUUGUACAUAAUGUGAUGCGUAUUUUAUUACAUCUGGAUGUUGCACAUAUUGGCAUUGCUCUCAAAGAUUUGAUGUUAUUGAUUUGCAAAGUCAUAGCUUGUUCUGGGUUUUUCUUGCUAUUCUGAUUGACUGAAUGUAGGUUUCCAGUAGUAUACUAUUAUAGUUUAACGACACUAAAUAACAAUCUUUCAAUCCAAGAAAUGGCAAUCACUACAAAAUAAUUUCGCUGAAAACAAAAAGAAUCAUCCCGAAGUAAUUGAAUAGACAUUUGAUGAAGCAACCGAUAAGAAAAUCCUUUCAAAAAUUAAUAAUAUCAUGAACAAAUAUAGAUGCAUUUACCUGAAGAAGCAUGUGUAAAAGAUAAAUUAAAUCAGUUAUGCUUCUCACAACAGCAAGGACUGUAGCGAAGGACCAGUUCAGAACUAUACACUUGUCAACCUGCUUCGGGCACAAAUGAGGAAAAAAAAAAAAAAAAAGACAACUUAGAGCUAUGUUAAACUUCAUAACAACGUUGAGAGCUACAAAGCACUGCAUGAAGAAGUUAAAUGACAUGACAAACAAGAUGCCAUUCAACAUCAGCAUCUAGAGAGAAGUAGGAGACAGGCAUCCGAUCUCUCUUGAUAAAAGUACAAUAUGUAACAAAAACUUCAAGACCGAUGAAAGGACUCCAAAAAAUGGGUUUGAUUUAUAUGACAGAAGUGUUUUCAUCAAUCUUUUGUACUUGGAAUGACAAAGCACGACAGGAACAUACUAUGAUCUUUGAGAUAUUAGCUCCACGUUUUUCUUUUGUUCUCACCUGCUGUAGCUAAAAUUUUUUGAUAAUCACCCUUUAGUCUUAACUCUUAAGCUUUUAAAAGGUAUGUAUUCUUGGUAAGUAGAGCAUGUCAUUUACAUGAUCUUCCAUAUCCACCUGGACAUAUAUACAGCAACGCAAAGCUUAUGUUAGCCUAAUCACUCCUUAGCCCCUAGAAAAAUCCAGGUCAAAAUUUUCAGGAGUUUUUAUUCAUCUACAACUCUACCCGAUGCUGUAAAGCAUGUUCUUACUAUACCAAUUUGCCUUAGAAAUAUUGUAUAUGUUCUUCACUAUCAAAAGAAAUAUUCUAAGACAUCAAUUCUUUAAAUAAAAAAAGAUAAAUUACAUAUUAAAAGCAACUAUAGUUAUUUCCUUCGAACCCAUAUAAUGCUAUUUAUUAAAAAUAUUUAAGACAGAUAGAUGAAUAGUCCGCUGCCAAAAGAUAAGAAUAACAUACCUGCUCAACAGACAGAAGGAAGAAGAAUAACGGGUCGAUGAAAAUUGCAACCAAGCAUGAUAUGACGAAAAAUUUAUUCCACUGUUGGACGACCUUAGUGUGUGGAUUCAUGAUAGGGAAGUAGGAAGCCAGAUAUGAAAGUGACUUUUUUGCCCAACCAUCAACAUCACCAUAUAGAAGGUUAUGAAGCUGGACAAGCACAAAAGUAUAAAUUAAGAGCAUGAUUGACGUAGCUAAUCAAACUUUCACUACUCAAAUCGCUUCCAACUAACAACUAAACUUAGAGGUAUCGUCUGAAGUAAGACGACUACAUCAUAAAGACAAUAGAGCAAACAAAUACGAGUCACAUCGGUAAGGGGAAAAAGCACCUUACUGUCAAGAGAAGCCGGACUUCCGUAAUAGUGCCGUUUAGUUUUCUUAUAAGCAGCAGGGCAAUCGGUACAAUCUGGAUUAUUGCAAAGCCCCAGAGGACCGGACUUCAAUAAAUGCUCAUUCCUUCCAAUAUCAUUGUGAUAGGACCAAUCAUUUCUUCUAAUUUCUUCCGGCAUGAUUGCAUGAGCAAUGCUGUUUUGUUUGCCCAGUUUAGUCCAAGUAGGCUUUUCAGCUCUCUGAUUGCUAUACAAAGGACCGCUCAUAUGUUCAAACUGGGUUGGCCUUUGAAGCCUCAAAGGACCAGUAUGAGAUACAAAAGUGUCUUCAUUUUCGUAGGUCUCGCUGACGGGUAUGCUCAUUGAAGCACUCCUAGCUGUAAAUUUUUGUAGCUCAACCUUCCUAGGCAGUAUCGGGACAUGAUCUUUGUCUCGAUCAGUCAUAUCUAAACCUGUAAGAGAGAACAUUCAAUUGAUUAAGUAAAGAAGAUUCCACCAAAAACAUAGAAAUAGGUAUUUGAAAUACGCUUUGAAUGUGUGAGACUCCUCGUUUACAAGUACGGUACACUACUUGAAUCUCAACAUAAAUAUAACAGGGUGGUUGAGUAUCUCUGCAAAUAAAACAAUAAGGAACUCAAAAAAUUGCUAGGAUGUUCAAAUUACUGCACUUAGUAACUCCAGAUUAUUCUCUCCAGUGGCCAAAUUAAUCAUGUUUUAAAAGUGGAAUCAUUUAAGAAUAAAAUUAGGAGCUCAUGCUAACUUUUUAAUGUGCAACAUAUCUGAACAAGCUUAUCAAUAACAUUCCUGCAUAAAUCAUGUCACUGGGUCUAACAAAAAGUACAAUUGUCUCAUUAUAAGCGAAAAUAAAGGAUUGAACAUGGAUCCAAAUUAUACAAAACUCUUAAUAGCACCGGAACAUGGAUCCAUAUUAACAGUACUAGAAUAUGACAUGGAAUUGUGAAGCACUACGUGCAACUAACGUUCAUUGCAAGAGAAAUGCACUAAAAUUGCUUUACAAAAAGCACAAAUUUUAAUUCAAACGAUUGAGAGAUCGAUUACAACACCCGAUCAAACUAAUUCGGACUUUAUCAUCUAAAACAAGUCCCAAAUAUUUUUUUUCCUCCAAUAAAAAAAAAACCCCCGCAAACUCCUCCAAAAUAGCUAACAAAAAUCAAAAUGGGACCCGAAAAGGAAAACCCAGAUGGGGAUUUUCACUUGCCCGACCCCAAACCCUCCAAAAUCGCACCUUUUUCGCAAAAAGGACACUUCUCAAAAGCGAGAAAAGGAGAAAUUGAGGCGAGAAUCGAAACCUGAGCUUGGCGAAUCCUCAAAAGGGCCGAAGCUUUAGCAAAGGCGAAGCUCCCCUUCUACUGGGUCUUAGACUUCGAGAAGAAGCUCAAAACUCCAUGAAAAAGAGGGCGGAGAUGGGUAGAAACCAAGCGAUUGGGAGUGGGGAGGAGGAAGAUGAAGCUUCUUGGCCACUUCCCCAAUGGCGAGGGAGCGACAGAGAGAGAGAGAGAGAGAGAGAGAGGAUGCGACAAAGAGAGAGAGAGAGAGAGAGAGAGAGAGAGAGAGAUUAGUCUUUUCGUGCGCUCACACUUGUUGUAGUCUCCAACGAGUCUUCGUAUACGCGACCCUCUCACUCUUUUGGCAACGUAUGAAUUUUUUAUUAUUAUUAUAUAUAACGGUCAGACAUACAUGAAUAGUCCCUGUACUUUCCCAAUAUUGCAUCUGUUAUAGUUUUUUUUUUUUUUUUGGGUAAACUUCAAAUAACAUCCUUAUAGUUUCGCCAUCUUCUCGAUUUAGUAUUCUAUAGUUUAAAGUGUAUCAAUUUAGUACCCUACGAUUUUAUUUUUCUUUUUUCGACAGUCCAUUAACUUUUCAUUAAAUCAUAUAAAAAGGACUUCAAAUGCCCCACCUAUAGAUCAUAUAAUAUUCACUUGAAUACUCUUUAGUUUUAACUUUGUCACUAAUUUAACAGAAAAAAUUAGCAAAAGAGAAUAACAAACAGUAAAAAAUAAAACCAUAGAAUACGAAAGUGAUACACUUUAAACCAUAUGGUACUAAAAUAAGAAAAUGUAAAACUACAGAGAUGGUAUUUGAAGUUUUUUCUUUUUUUUUUUUACUUUCCAUUCUAAUGUAUUAAAAUUUUCCGUCAACUAUCCAACCUUUCAAAAACUUAAAUUUAUUAUAUAAUCUUUCAAUUUAUUUGAUUUGAAUCGGUUAAUAAUAUUUUAACUUUUAAAUUUAAAUAAAUUAUUUAUUUUAAUAAAUUACAUAUGAAGAAUUCUAACAAUCUGUAAAGAUAAACGACAUAUUUAUUUUGAAAUCGAAGUGUCAUUGACUGACUUAAAUCAAAUAAAUUAAAAUUUUAGAUUUGUAUGUUUUUACCUACUUUGUUUUAUCAUAAAAUAACAUAUUUUAUUUCGAAAAGUUAAUGUAAGGAACUCAAUUUAACUAUUGUUUGUUUUAAUCGGGCUACUUAAUUUUUUAAAAUUUUAAUUUCUAUAACUUACCUAUCAGUUUAUUUUAUUUGAAUUAUUAGGUUACUAGAAUAAAAAUAGCUAAGAUCAAAUAAAUUUUAAAAAAUAAAUAGUAAGAUUAAAAUUUUUUGAAGAAGAUUGGAUAGUCGAGUGAAAAAAGUAUCAUGAUAUUUUUAUUUUAGAAUAAACUAUAAUAACUAAAUUAUUUUACAGAAAAAUAGAAUAGUGUAUCCCAUAUUGAUAUUGAAUAAUAUCAAACUCUAUUUCAGUAAUAAUAAUAUUUUCUAAGAAAUUGCUCUUAGAAAACCAAUUACUUAAUAAAAAUUAAUUUUGUCUUAAGGACUAGAUACAAUAUAUUCAUAAAUUUAGAAAAAAAAAUAUUUUUCCUAAAAAAGUACAUGGACCAAAUCAUAAUAUACGAACCAUGGAGGGACCAUUCGAAUAUUUUAAACUUUUAGUAAAUAAUAAUAAUAAUAAUAACGGUUGGAUUUAUUUAAUAAUUUUAUGAGAGACAGACCAAAAUACCGUGAGUCAGCAAGGACUUAAAAUAUUAGAGGUCACUUGCACCAUUGAUCCCUAACCUUCAUCCAUUUUUCAUUUUGGUUUCUUUUUUUUUUUUUUUUUUUUUUCUUUUUUUUCUUUUUUUUUUUUUUGCUAUUAGGUCCAACUAUAUAUCUUAAUUUUUGUUAAUUUUACUCAUAUAGAUCGCCGUCAUGGUCCAGUAACUUUUGAUUGAUACUGACAUUGAUGUUUUAAAGUUUGCGAAAAAGCUUGAUGACACAUUUGGCUCGAUUUUAGAAGUGUCGGAGUGCUUCAAAAGAUAUCGUAGGGAGCUUGUGCAAGAUCGAGAUGAUCGUAAUCGUGAGGACUGUAAAAUUGGCCUUGACGUGUUGUACCUGUAUAGGAGAAGUUGUUAGAGGCCGAAGCGAAAAAAUAGGUACAAGUUAGGGACCCAAUUAGUCCAAACCUGAUCCGCUGACAUCCCUAGGACUGAUAGUGCAAUUAAUUUUAAAAAUUAAGAAUUUGAUUGCAAAACAUUAAAUAUUGGGGAUAAAAAUAAAAAAAAUAAAGAUCAGGCAACAAUGGUGCAUUAACUACUUUUUUUUGUUUCGGAAAAAAAAAAUUUAUAAAACUUAUUUAAACAAUAAAUCAUUCUGAAUCUAUUUCGGAGCUUUAUACGACAUCUCAAGCAAGAAAUUUUAAAAAUUAUGCUAUAAACCUUAAAAAAUAACAUAUUGUAUACUAUAUAAGAAAUUAGAAAAAAAUACUAGUCAUUAUAUAUAUCACUCCACAAGGAUCUAGUUGGGGGAAAUAAUUAUUAUUUUAUUAAUUUAAUUAUUUUUGAUCAUCUUUUUAAAAAGAUGAUGUAAAUGGUAGGCCAACACAUUUGACAAAAAAAUUUGAGUAAAAAAAUAUCUAGCAAAAUUAAAGUGUCUAUUACAUUGACGUGACAGAUAGCGGAAUCGGCAAACAUUGUACUACUUAAGCAUUACAACUUACAUAAUGUUUCUUGUUCUUAUUUUGUUUUUUUAUUUAUCCAAAUUGACACCCAUUUACAAGUUCACUUUAUGUAUACUACUUUGGAACCUUAGGGCUGUUUGUUUUCAUCUUCUGAAUCUCCAAGGUUUAAUUCGCGACUCCAAAAAAACUCAUUGGCGUCAGCAUUUGUUUUAACGCUAAAGUUACGAGAUCUUCGAACUCCCACUCGCAAUUGUACAAAAAAAUUGACUUUUCUCAAACAAAUCAUCUUUGUUUUCGAGUACUUGAAUAUUAACUAAAUUGAUACUUUUAUCGGCUUUUCUCAAAUAAAUUAUCUUUGUUCAUGAAUCACAAGAAAAAGAAAGAUAUCUAACCAUUCGAACUUACGAGUUGGCAGACGUUCGUAAAAUUUGUUUGUAAGCAUAGCAUUAAGUAAGGAGAAAAAAAUGAUAGCGGAGAUCUACCCUCCGGAAUCAGCAAACCCCGCUAGUCUUCUUCCGGUCGACGAGCUUCCGCCAGAACGCGGUGAUCUCCCGCUGCGUCUCGAUCACGCUCUUCUUGACCACCGUCGCGUCGCCAUCGCCGUUGCUCCGCUCCGCGGUCGUUACGUGCGCCACCGUGGUCUUGACACGGCUCGCCCGCACGUCGAACUCCGCCAGGACCUUCGCGAGAUCGGUCACGAGCCGCUCCGCGAGGCUCCGGCUGAAGUCCUCGCGGAUGACCACACGGAGGACCGCGACGUGCUCCGCGUUGGGGGGCAUGGUGUAGGCCGGCACGAUCCACCCGAACCGCCGCAGGCUCUCCGAUAUCUCGAAAACGGUGUACGUGCCCCCGUCCUUCAGGGAGAAUGCGACCAGCGGCACGCCGACGUCCUUCGAGAGGAUGUCGAAUUUGCCGGUCUUCUCUAUGCCUUCUUUCAGUACCCUAGCAUUCUCCAUGCAGUUCUCCAUGAUGUUCUUAUAUCCCUACAAAGACGCGAGAAAUACGUAUAAACCUUAUCUAAACUUUAAAUUAACUAUUUCGAAUUAGUUAACUGAACUUUCAAAAUUUUGAAAGGUUCAGUAGUAAAAUCAAAAUUUUGAAAGAUCGAAUAAUCAAUUCAAAAUGGUUUAUAAUUCAGAUAAGUUUCAUAAGUUUUUACUCGUUUUAGAAUUCAAUCCUUGAAAAAAUAAAAUGACAUUUGAUUCACAUGGAGAUUGUGAUAUAGCAUCUACAACUAAUCAACUAAAUCUUGUGAAUGAAACAAAUUGCUACCUCAAAGCCCAAACGGAUGAACUGGUAGUACUGAGCAAUGAUCUGACUCGAACCUGCGAAAAAUAAAACGAAAAAAAUUCUUCACAAAAACAAUUAUGUAGAUUUGCAAACAACCAACAAUGUUUUAGUAUAUAUGUUAAGUUUCAAAAAGGAGUCAUGCAUGAACCUUUUGAGAAAUUGAGGGUGAAUGUCGGUUGAUCCGCGCCGAGAUAGUUUAUGUGGAAAAUGAGCUCUUCAGGUAGAUCUUCUUUGCUCCUCCAAACAACCCAUCCGACGCCGGCGUAAACGAGGCCGUACUUGUGGCCGCUGACAUUGAUGCUCUUCACUAGCGGAAGUCGGAAGUCCCAUUCUAGUUCGGGGUAGAGGAAAGGCGCAAUGAACCCUCCACUCGCGGCAUCGACAUGGAUCGGUGUGUCCCACCUGCAGUUGCAGUGUUUUCGUGUGAAAACUAUCACUCCAUAGACUAGAAUAUUAUUGGUAGCAAAUGAGCUCCGUUACUAUCGAUUUAUUUUCGACGAUAGAGCUUCCAAAUUGACGAUCGAUACUAUUAAACAUGAUUUACAUCAUUUGAAGCAGUUAAAAAAUCAAAUUUCAUAUUUUUCCGACAUUGUUCUCUUGUGCAUCAUCAUAUGAAUGCAAAAAUGAAUAUCCUUUCAAAAUUAAAGUAGAGUGCAUAGAUCUUGUUUUUAAUAGUUUAAAAUUUUUCUAAUAAAAAUCUAGCUGAUUUAAAUUUUUUUACACUGUUAAACGAGCAACGCUUCGUAUCUAUCAUUAAAAUUAUAAAUUUUACAACCCUUUCAUUAUUAGGCCAAUGGUGUCGAAAAUGUACCAAAUUUGAUUUCUAGGUAUUUUAAAUGGUCUCGAUUAUAUUCAAUGAUGCAAAUCAUCGAUUUGAAAGCUCUAUCAUGAAAAAAAAAUCAAUAGUAAUGGUGCCGAUUUGCUAUCGAUAUUAUUGUAGCCCAACUCUCUGUCUUUAAAUCAUGCAGAUUACAAUGAAAAGAAUUGAGUUUGCGGUAAAAGAAAAAUCGCUAUUUAGUUAUCCUAGCACCAAAAUUAGGGUUUUGAGUGAGAGAAUUCGAAAGCUAUCCUAAUUUUUAGCAUUUCUGGUGAAGUGGCUAUUCGCAGGACUCAAAUACAGCAAUUAUGUGUGGUUUGCACAACAAGGACAUUACUGUUGCAGUUAUUUCAAAUAAAACUAGUACAAACAACAAUUGCCAACAACAAAUUCAAAGCAGAGAAAUGAUUCGGUACUUUUUUUAAAAAAAAAUAAAAAAGAUCUUAACCGUUGAUUAAUAGAGGGUAAAAAUGUAAUUUUAAUACUUAGCAGGUAAAAAUAUUAUUUUAUUCAAGGUUAGUUUGGUAAUUAAACAAUACAACAUUUAAAGAAACUUUCAAUUGAGGUCCUAAAUUUACGCACUAAUUAGCACUAAUUUAGGAAAUUAAUUGAUGAACCAAAUUUAUGCAAUUAUUAGGCAUUAAUUUAGACAUCUACUUUAAAUGUUUUAGUGUUUCUAAAAUUAUGCAUUAAUUUAAAUUAUAGAAAUUUUAGAAAUAGUUUUAUUUCUAAAUACGAUGAAUUUAAAUUUUAAAAAUUAACUACUUAAAAUUUAAAAGUAAAAUUUAAAUUAGAGGAAUGUCAUAUUAUCUCUAUUCGGAAGUUUAAAAUAAUGUUUUAGAAACAAUUAUCUCUAUUCCGAAUAGAGAUAAUAGUUUUAAAUUAGUGUUUCUAGUUAAAAUAAAAAAAAUUUGACAAAUAAAGAGAAAACACUAAAACACUAAGUUAAUGUUUCUAGUCAACAUAUUUAAUAUGUUUGAAAACAUUUAAGAAUUUUUUUAAUUUAGAUACUAAUUCUUUAUCACUAUUUAAAAAAUUUAAUGUAGAUAGUUGAUUAGAAAUAUAGGGUAAGGAUAUAAUUCAAAUUUAUUUUUAUAAUAUAAUUGUAUAGACAAAAUUAAUUCAAGAUUUGAGAUAAUGCUACACACAUUUUCCAUCGGAAUAUUGUUUUCUAAUCUAUCAGCCAUCGCAAAUUUCAACAAGCUAUUACUAUAAAAAAUUCUCAGAUCGAACUAGAAAAAAAUUAACUAACAAAUUAAAUCACAAAAUAAUCUAAAUUUUAUUCUUAUUUUAUUAAAAAAAGAUUUAAAAAGCAAUAGGUAUGGAAAGAAAUUUAAAUACAUAGUUUCUUAAAAUUAAACUUUCUUGCAAUAUUAAACAAAUAAUUAAACAAAGAGAAAAGAAAAAUUAAAAGAUCAUAUUGUCAAAUUAUUUGAAAUAUUCCUUAUAUGAAAUGCCAAAUUAUAAAAGAAAAGAUAGAGAGAAAAAAAAAAAUAGAAAAAAUUUUUUGAAAACAUAGUAGAUGUAAAAUGACUAAAUUGCUCAUGUAUUAAAAGACAAAAAUACCUUUUUUUGAGGUACCUGGUAACCGGUACCUCUCCCAAAGUAACCUGCUAUUGCAGGUCACCAUUUUAAAAAAAUUAAAUCUGAGCCGUUGAAUAUGCGUGAAUGAACGGUAAUAAAACAAAAAAAGUAUAGAAGCAUUACUCUUCAAAACAAGAUAUGUAGCGUAAAUAUGCCCUAAUCGAAAUAAUGACCAGGUGCAGUGACAAAUGAAUAUAGUUAGUCACUUAAGUUAAAUUCACUAAUUGUUAAAUACAAAAAUAUUUAAACACCGUUCCCUAACAGCUUAAGUUUUUAGAGUACAACGGUUGUUUCACAUGGUAUCAGAGCAGGAGGUCCUAAGUUCGAGUCACGCUAGACUCCUAACAUAUUAAUUUCCUCCAAUUUAAUUCAAGCCGGUUGUUUCACACUAAUACACUACUUAUUUCUAACUAGAAUCACGUAUAAUGCCUUAAUAAAGGAAUAAAAGGAACUUACCCUGUCUCCUUGUUCUUCUCCGUAAGGAGGUCGUUUAACCGUUUAACGUCCUCGAACUCUCCGGUGAGAGUCGAACCCAAAAUGGCGGCGACGCAGAUAGUGUUCUCAUCCACCAACUCGACGGCCUUCUCGGGGUCCAUGACAUAAUACCCAUCCCUCAGCCUCACCUCCUUCAGUUCUACUUCGAAGUACCUCGCGAAUUUCUCCCAGCAAACCUAGCAAAAAAUGUACGAAACUUACGCAAACAUUCUAACGAAACAUUCCGUAAUCUAAAGCGGAAUAUUCCGUCACUCGACGGCAUGUCAUUAACAGUUAGUUCGACGGUCGAAACCAAAAUUUUUAAAUUUUUGAAAGAUGGUGGUUAUGGAACCUGGACAUUGGCACCAGUGACAAUGUUUGGUUUGUCAAUUGGCUUGCCUUCUGCCCUUCUCUUAUUCUGCCACCUCCUCUUGAAUGCUAACCCUGCCAGCAUUAUGGCUUCUGAGGAUCCGACAGUUCCGACUCCGACCGCCGUUUCGUCGUCUCCGAUCGGCGCAUUGAAAAGGUGGGCUAUCAUAUUCACACAUCGGUUCUGCACGACGAUAACCGCGUUGCAAUAAAUCCCACAAUGUAUAGAACAAGAACAAGCUUUUGAGUUGACAUACUAAUUACAUAAAGAGGGAUUUGAAGCAGUAGAUGAUCGAAGUAAUUAACUCAUUUCAAUAUAAGUGCAUGGUUUAUUUCUAUAAUAAAGGAGUAGAUUAAAAGAAUUACACGAGAUAAUAAAAAUUUGACAUUAUUAAUUUCCUGUGCAACAAACUCAAUUGUGUCGACUGCGGAAAUUGUGAGAUUCUAGAUUACGGAUAUCUCAAAUUAUUUUUAAAUCAUUUGCUAACUUCGAUCUUAGGGAAACACUUGUGAUUUGUUAACAAGUCUAUAAAAGAGGUAACAAAUUGAACUUCGAAGUGCAUAUGUAAAAAAUAGGAAUUUUUAAGGGCAUUCGGUAAAUGGUUACAAAUGAGCAAAACAACCAUGCAUGAGCCGUGGGCCAGCUAAUACUAAUACUAUAGAGUUAAUUUCAUACAGGUCCCUACAAAUAUAGUGAAUAACAAAUAUAUCCCUAUAAAAUUCAACUUUUAUAUAUUGUUUCGGUAAAAGUUCUAAUAUUUUACCGUUAGAGAACCGUUUGAGAACUGUUUAUAUUUUUAAUUUUAUCAUCACAAAUAUGACUGUCCAAAAAUCAUAAUAAUAUAAUAUAAGAGGGGUAAAAACAUCAUAAAUUAAUCAGGAUUUAGUAUUUAAUCUAUGAUUAACUAAAAUUUUCUAAUGGAUUCUAACAGUAGAGAUAUAUUUGAAAAUAUCAGAACUUUUGUAGGAACAAUAUAUAAAAAUUAAACUUUAUAGAAAUUUACUUGUCAUUUAUUAUGUUUGCAAGGAUCUGUAUAAAAUUAAUCCUUUACUAUAUUAUUGAGAGUGUCUGUUUGUUUCUAUACGUAAUAUUCAUAUUCGUUUUGAACCUGGAGCUCGGUAGUGACGGGGUACUCGUCCAUGUCGACGUAGUUCUUGUUGACGGCGGCCAUGAUGAGGCGGUCGCACUCCGGCUCCAUCCACGUCGUCACGAACGACGCUAGGUUCAGCCGCGGGUUCCCGUCCAGCAUCAGCUCGUCGUUGAUUAUCUGGUACGCGGCAUCCUUCGGUAUCACCCUCUCCGGAAUCUUAAACUUAAUUAUUAUUAUUUUAGAAUUAUCAUAGCAAUAAUAAUAUAUAAUAUUAUUAUAUAUAAUUUUGUGCCGCGGCACUUGAAUUCUUGCGGAAAAAAAAAAACUCAAACCUGGGAAGCGGUGCGCGGACGUAACGGGAGGCGAAGGUGGAGUGCAACGACUCCGCGGUAUCUGUCGUCGUCGUCGUCAACACCAUCUCGCUGAUUCGAUUUGAUUUGAUUUGAUUUGGUUUGAUUUGAUUGGUGUGUGUAUGAAACUACGGAGGUGAAAAAUGAGAGUUAAUUAGAAGGGUUUUAGCUUUUUCUUUAGAAAGAAGAGAGGUUCCUAUUAAUUCCGCCGUAAAUAAAAAUAAAAAUAAAAGUAAAAAAAAGAGCCGGUGAAAGGUGGACACGUGGAGGCGUUGAUGGGUGACACGUGGAGUAGCUCUGCGGCGUGGUGAGCGGAGGAAGCUCGGGCCUACGGGAUCGGCGGAAAAACGGUUCCACUUCGUUAAAAAAAAUAAAACACAUUAAUUAUUAAUUAUACUAUUGAUCUCUCAAUUAUCACCAUUUCAUUUUUCGGUUUGAUUACUGGGUUUUUUUUUUUUUUUUUUUGGUAUUUUUAGGUUCCUAACUUCUAUAUUUUGUCUCAGCUCGAUCCAACUAUUCAAAUUUUAAGUUAUUUUGAUAAAAUAUAUCACGUCACUCGAUCAAAUCAUAUAUUAGUUUUAUUUUUUUGUGAAUCCAUUUGGUAUCAAAGCACGUCUAAUGCAAAUAGACUAAACAGAGUUAAAACAAAAGCAUAUUGAGAUUUACUUUUACUUUUUUCAAUAAAACAGUAUAAAAUGUAAUCUACUGUUCGAAAAUAAAUAUAAUAACUUUUAUCAAAGCAUAUAUCACAACUUUCCUGCAAUUCUAAAUAAAGAAUUAGAUAUCAAUGUCACACAUGAUUAGACGCCAAAAUGGCCAGAUACGUCAAAUAUACUGUCGCAUGCGAGAUUAAGAUGGUCUUAAGUACGGAGAACAUCAUUGAAGGCGAUUAGACUGGAUUUGACGCGAUAGAAUGCGCACACAGGAAAAGAGAUUCAAAAUCAAAAUGAAAACACGAAUAAAGAUUAGGGACCAAUGGCAUAAUAAUUCCAAAGGAAUAAGUAUCGGAUUCAACGAAAAAGAGAGUGGGAAUAAGUGGUGCAAUUAAUUUAAAAAAUGUUUGCUACCUCAAAAGUAUAUAUAUAUAUAUAUAUAAAAUACAAAAUUGCUACACAAGUAAACUCUUGUAUGGAACUUGGGUCAAACCAAGUAAGAAGCCCAACUCAACUAGCAUAUCCUUGAGAAACACAAACCCAAAAACAUUUCAAAAGCAUCAGAAGCGCUUUGCUCAAAAGCCAAAUAGGCUUUACCAACUCUCUCUUCUUAAUUAAUUCCCCCCAAAACCUAUAAACUAAGGCAAGCAAAGCACAAGAAUCCACUGUUUCCUCCUUUUAUGUAUUAAGCAUUGCCCCUUUUGUUUUUAGGCUCAUUUUUAAGUCUAAGAGGGUGUGGGUCACAUAAUAGAAAAAACCAAAUCAAACCAUGGUGUUGACACAGGUGCAACAGCUUGAUGAGGGCUCCUCCUACACCAGCUCGGUGUUUGCAUCAAGAUACGUGCAAGAUCCUGUCCCAAGGUUUGUUUUCUCAUUCAUUUUCUUUUUUUUUUUUUUUCUAUAAUCUGUUUUUUUCGUAAACUUUGAAGUUUUGAGGGGCCUUCUAAUACAUUUGUUCUUAUAAUUUUGUCCGUAUCACUUUAGGUGCUAUGACGUUGUUAUUUUGAUUCUAAUACAUUCUUAGAAUUUGAAAUAGUUUUAUAUAUAAACCCAACAGAUUAAGAGGAUUGAGCGAGUUUAAGAUUAGAAUAGUUUUAAAAUGGAUGGCCUUUCAGAAAAGCGAGACGUCACAUUAGGUGUUUGAAAUCUAUGUGCGCCUACGUUAGGAGAUUAUUGUUGUAAGAAAAGAGAGAUAAUUUUGGAAGAGUAGUACAGGUACGAGCUGGGAACGAGCUCAAUAUCGAAGGAGGCGGCGUACCAGCUAAUCCACGACGAGCUGCUGCUGGACGGCAGCCCCCGGCUGAACCUGGCGUCGUUCGUGACGACGUGGAUGGAGCCCGAAUGCGACCGGCUAAUGACCGAGACCGCCAACAAGAACUACGUCGACAUGGACGAGUACCCCGUCACUACGGAGCUUCAGGUAUAAAAAAAAAAGAGAAAAGGCUUUACAAUAAAUAGCUUACUUAUGCUGAUGUGACAAAAUAUCAGUGCACAUUGGGUGUGUGGAUUUCUGUGCACAGGACGAUCCGGUCGCUCAUUAACGGUUGAAUAAAUUCAUACCGUCUGACAUGAACAUUGAGGAUUCAUUAUGCUGCUAAUGAGUGGUACCGGGAUCACUCCACGAAGAAAAUUCAUAUUAUCAGUACAAAAUUAUGUUAGUUUAAAAUAUGACUUUUAUAGAAAACGAUUCAAAAAUAGUAAUCGUAAGAAUUAUGCCAAAACCAUGUUGAUAACAAUAUCCUCAUUCUUGUUUUUCUUUACCAGUUGCAAUUCUAUCUAUUAGAUGAACUACAUAUAAACUAUUUUAACUGCUAAAAUUUUCGAAGAAAACGCAACAAAUUAUACUAUCAUUUUCUUCUUUCUGAAUCUCUUCCUGCGUAGAACCGAUGCGUGAACAUAAUCGCGCGGCUCUUCAACGUGCCCUUGAACGUGAAAGAGGCCGCGGUCGGGGUGGGCACGGUGGGCUCGUCGGAGGCGAUAAUGCUCGCGGGUUUGGCAUUCAAGAGGAGGUGGCAGAACAGGAGACGAGCUGAAGGGAAGCCUUAUGACAAGCCCAACAUUGUUACAGGGGCCAAUGUGCAGGUAACUAAACAUCAACUAACAUCUUCAUGAACUACUUCCACUCAUUCCGCGGUUUAGGAGAAACAAUUUGUCAAAUAUUAUUGUACUAAAUUGAGUACAAACCAGCAUAGAUUCUAUUGAACCACUUGGAUAGCGAUAUUAACAGAGCAGGAGUUAUUAUUGCCAGAAUCGAUUUGCACAAAAAUAUUGUCAUGGAAAGCCGUUCUAAAAGGGUUUUCAGAAUAAAGAAGUUAUUCUAGAAGCCAGAUCGAAGAAACACAAGACUAAUAUUGCUUCGCUAUUUUACCGUUUGUAUUAAUUUUUUUUUUUUUUUUAAAAAAAUUGAGGUAUGUUGUGAGAAAUUCGCGAGAUAUUUUGAGGUGGAGCUCAAGGAGGUGAAGUUGAGGGAAGGGUUUUAUGUGAUGGACCCUGAGAAAGCUGUUGAAAUGGUGGAUGAGAACACCAUUUGUGUCGCGGCGAUUUUGGGCUCAACAUUGACGGGGGAGUUUGAAGAUGUGAAGCUUCUUAACAAUCUCCUAACACAAAAGAACAAGAGAACAGGGUAACAUUUCAAAAUCUUCCUUUUUUAACUCGUAUAAAUCCGACCAAUUAAUAGUAUAAUGCUGCAUUUUAAAUUAGUUUGGAUUUUAUGAGAACUUUUGGACCCAACCACAAACUUAAAAAGAUGGUUAAUGACACAGGUGGGACACUCCAAUUCAUGUAGAUGCAGCAAGUGGGGGAUUCAUUGCACCCUUCUUGUACCCUGAAUUGGAGUGGGAUUUUAGAUUGCCUUUAGUGAAGAGCAUUAAUGUGAGUGGCCACAAAUAUGGCCUUGUUUAUGCUGGUGUUGGUUGGGUCAUAUGGAGGAGCAAAGAAGAUUUACCUGAUGAACUCAUCUUCCACAUCAACUAUCUUGGUGCAGAUCAACCCACAUUCACCCUCAACUUCUCUAAAGGUAUAUAUAAAUAGAGUGCGUCUGGGGUGCUUUUGGAAGCACGGAGUACUCCGUGCUUCCAAGUUGUUUUCGAUGUUGGGACUUUCAAAUCGACGAUCGGCUCCGUUAGACUUGAUCUAGAGUAUUUGAAGUAUCUAGAAAAUAAAUUUCGCGAUUUUUCGAUAUCAUUUGCCUAGUGAUCGAAGAGGCUCAAAAUCAACGGCUGAAAAUAAAAAUCUUACAAAAUAUGAUGAUAUGAUAUUAAAAUUUUAGAUCAAAGUUAUUGAUCUUGUUUUAUAUGGUAUAAAGAAUUUUCUAUCAAAAUUUCAUGUGAUUUGGAUAUUUCUACACCGUUAAACUUGCAAACGGCUCACCACGGCCAUUAAAAUUAUUGAUUUUGAGCCUCUUCGAUCACUAGGCAAAUAAUAUCGAAAAAUCACGAAAUUUAUUUUCUAGGUACUUGAAAUACUCUAGAUCAACUCUAACGGAGCCGAUCGUCGAUUCGAAAGUCUGAACAUCGAAAACAACUUGGAAGCACGGAGGACUCCGUGCUUCCAGAAGCAUACCGGCCCACUCUAUAUAA
rnacentral:lncRNA from 1 species